rnacentral:lncRNA from 1 species
GCAAGUUUAAUAAAUAUUUUGGUUUUCCUUCCGAAUCCCAUGGCCACUCCGUUGUGGCACAACUCUGGUGCCUAUCCCGCACCAAGUGUGCCUCAACAGCCGAAGCUGGAGGUGAGGGUCCGCUGGAGCUGCCUCGACAACAGUUGCCGGAGGUUGGAGGUUGCGGUGUACCCAGAAACGUCAAAAGUCAUAGUUGGAGGUUGAAUUUUGGUUUAGAUAUUUUAUCGAUCGCCUGAUGGACGAAGUAGUGCUGAGAAUUUAUGAGAACAAAUAAAGGCUGCCUUGCACAACACAAUAUCCCAAUUGUGCCCGUUUUAGAAUUUCCGCGUCCAACGAAAGACAAGGAAGAGACAUUAUUUAUAAAAAUGGAGCGGGGUCCCAUGGUUCAACGCGAGGCUUGAAUUGAAUAUCUCCACUAUCUGAGAAAAAUCUAAAAAACUUUCAUACAGCAGGUGGCGGCCCAAGGUUCUUACCACCAGUGAAGAUUCGGAGCCGUCGAAAGCGACUACCACUGCAACUGCAUCCAACGGAGGCUACGGGAGCCUCGGUGGCGGUGGGGGCACCUGCGGCAGAUCUUGGCCUAGUAUUCAGUCUAACACGAAGAGUUGUACUUGGUCCGCCGAGACCAAGGGGGAUCGAGAUCAAGUGGCAUGUAGGUCGCAACGCCGCUGCUACGGGAGCCUCGGUGGCGGUGGGGGCACCAGGGCUAGAUCUUGGCCCAGUGUUCAGUCUAAAACGCAGAGUUCUACUUGGUCCGCCGAGAUCAAGGGGGAUCGGGAUCGAGAUCGAUUGGCAUGUAGGUCGCAACGCCGCUGCUACGGGAGCCUAGGUGGCAGUGGAGUUCAACACCGAGACCAAGGGGGAAUCGAGAUGGAGAAGCAUGUUGGUCCGUCGUAGCUGGACUGUUUUAACGACCAUGGAGGCGAUUCUCAUCAGUAGGAUUUUGGUGGAAAUUUUGACAGUUACACGGCGAAAUUUAUGGAGAUUUCCAUUUGUACCCGAAUGUGAGUGAAGGGUCCGGCCCCGUACAUUUAUUGGCGUGGGGCCCGACCAUGUGAGUAGUAGUGUAGUAGGUAAUUUAACAAAUAUUGAGUCAAAAAAAUUGGGCCGAAGGAGGUGACCAAAUUACCCCUAAAAUCGAAUAGCUUCCAAAUAAACGCACAAUUAAUUCAUGACACUUUAAUUUAGUGGGUUAAUGAUAAUUUAAUGAUGAUAAAUUUAAAAUAACGUGUUAAUUAUUGAUGACAUGUCAAAAAUUAAUUAGAUAGACAGCAAAUCUCGACUCUAUUUUCCAAAAAGGUAUAUAGUAUGUCAUUUAUAUAUUUUAUUACAUAGCGUAUAACAACUUAUUUUUUCAUUAUAUUUUUAAAAAAAUAAAAAGUCCCUCACUUCAAAGCAUAGAAACAAAAUAUUUUGACAUAAAUUAUCAUCAAGAACGAAAUGUACUACUUAAUGAAAAGUUGAAAAUAAGAAUUCCAAGAAAAAAAUUAAGAAAAUAAUUACUAUAACGAGCAAAAUAAAAUGUAGUGUAAUUAAUAAAAAUUAUAGUGGCAAUACAACCAUCCUAAAAUAAAACUUGACCUCCCUUUGUGGAGACCAAACAAACCACUGGAGAGGUGAUUCUUUCAUCCUAUUUGAAGCUUUGAAACACUGUUUUUUGCUCGAAUUACAUUGGCUAUGUGCUAACAGAAAUGCUAUACAAAAGAGGCAAAUAUACUACAUCAAAACAUUAUUGUUCUUUCCAAAUUACUAUAUUUAAUUACUAACUCAAAGCUCCAGAUUUGCAUUUGGCCUAAUCUUGCUGAAUUUGUCCCCUCACCAGCGAUUCUAAGUCGGGUUCCUCGUCAAUAUUUAUUGUUGUGGUCAUAUAUAUGUUAAGAACAGGAAUUGAUGGUAGCAGAAUUUGAAAACUCAGCUUAAAACUCCUCCACAUGCUAGAGAUACAUGUAGUGCAUAAGGGAAGCAGCAUAAUUAUGGGGUACAUAAUCCAAAAAAGUCUUGUGGGAAGAAUAGAGAGGCCGAGAAACAAACCAAUAGGGAAACUGAGUAAUUCUUGACUUGAAUGCGCAUGUAUCCCAUAUCAACUUGAGGUGUCAAUGGGAUUUCAAUGGAAAUGAAGGAGAAGAGAAGGAAAAAGCUAGUGAGAAGCCAAAACUUGAUCCAAAUGAAGUUUCCAAUUGCUAUACCAAAUGGAUCCCAUUCCCAAGAUGUGGCUGUAUAUGAUUUCAAUAUGUUUAUAACGAAGAGGGCAGCGUGUCUUAGAUCAAAGUAUAACAUUAUUCUUGGGUGAGAGAAUUUAAGGAGAAGUGAUGAAUUGAAUAUGAAAAAGAUACUGGCGAGAGAAUUUAAGGAGAAGUGAUUAAUUGAAUAUGAAGAAGAUACUUGCCUAGCCAACACAAAAUAUAUAUAUAUAUAUAUAUAUAUAUAAUUCCUGAAACAUGAAAUUUGACUCCUUGUAGGCGCAGUGUACAGGCAGCUCUUGUUCCCUGGCCUGCUGGGCACAUCCUGCGAUUUACAUCCUUCACAAAGCUCUAGGGGCGGGGCGGUGGGGGUCCUCAAGGUUGGGGUUCAACCUUUUUUAUAUAUAGACACUGUGUGUAUGUCCUUUCAGGCCCUAUGAAAGCUUCAGCAGGGAUAGUGCUUUGGAAAUAUUAUGACGUCCAAUUUGUGCUUUUAUAUCUUUGGUUUAACUUUAGUACAUUUGGAUGUUUCUAGGACAUCUCUCUCUCUCUCUCUCUCUCUCUCUCUCUCUCUCUCUCUCUCUCUCUCUCUCUCUCNNNNNNNNNNNNNNNNNNUCUCUCUCUCUCUCUAUAUAUAUAUAUAUACACACACACACACACACACAUGCAAAGUCAAUAAUCCAGUAGUCUGUCUUCUCUUUAAGAAAAAUGCUACUCAAACAGGUGUAGCAUAGGUGUGGAGUCAUAAGCCAAAACUAUUGUCAUCUCUUUGUAGUUAAUUAAUUAAAUCUUCUUUCAUGUUCCAUCAUUGCUAAAGAAAUAUAUUUCCAAAAGCAAUAAUUUUGAAACAUAUCUUAUCUUCCGUCUCUCUAAUUCUCUAUUUGAAGCCAAAGAAAGAAAAUGAUGUCAACUGGUAGAUAGAAAUGGCUAAAAAUUCCCUUCAAACCCCAUCUCCGUGGACCCCGCUCCAAAUUGGGUGGGCAUUACCCUCUUAUUCAGCUAUUCAGGAAGGGAAAUUUCGUCCUGAGGCGGGUUGGGUAACACUCGCUCCCAUGCCAUUUAAUUUAAUUUUUUUUAAAAAAAUUCAAUACUUUAAAUGGAAAAUUUUACGAAAUGUCAUUAUGUAAAACAUGUUUUCAUGCUUUUAACCGAAUUUAAGUUGUGAAACUUACUUGAAAAUCCCAAAAACGAGGUUGAAUUACUUGCCUAUUGAUUGCUUGCCUCCAACACUGCUUUGUACCAGCUUCUUGGUCAAAACUCGAUUACCAAGGAAGAAGUUUGUUGUGCACAAUCCAAGAACCCAAUUAGAGAUGUAAUUUUCCCAAAAAUCAAGCCUCCACCCGCAUCCAAUUUUUACACCUUGAAAGAACCUGAAUUUUGAAUAUCCUUAUUGUUUUUUACUUUUCUGAAUAAUGAAGAAUGGAAGUUGAUAAUUGGAGUUAUGGGUGGUGGAGAGGUUAACUUUCAAAUUCAGCUUUCAACCCCUCCCUCCAAAAUUCAAUUCCAUGCAAAUCGGGUCGGGUCAGGUCAACCCACAUGGACGAUCGUUUUCUUCCAACAUCUCUUACUCACACAUGAUGGGCUUGACCUGAUUCUAAUAUAAUAUCAAUUAUAUUAAGCUCAACAUCUCCAAGUUCAUAUAGGUAAAUGGAUAGUGCGACCAGCGAAUUAAUUUAAGAGCACACAACACUAUACACCUGUAAGGGAUAUAUAACAGCUCAGAAAGAGGAAUUAUAUUUCUCGCUAUACCCCAGACAUAUUUUGUAACACUAGUUUGAGUAUUUCUGACCCCUCAAUUUAUUUUAGAACAUACUCAACUUUCUCAUUUAUGUUGUAUUCACAAUUGUGUCAUGAAACUUAAAUAAUCAACACAAUUAUCGAGUCGGUGAAUACAAGCUGAGGUGUUAGUUAAACAGUCUUCUUUUCCUACUUGAAUCCCUUCAUUUCAAAUCAACUGCUUUCCUAGACAUGUCCCAUCAAACCGAAUCAACCAUAAUUAUUGGCAACAUAUUAAAGUAGCAACACUGAAAUAAAAUUAUGAGAAAUAUUCAAAAGUCAUAAGGGUAUAUAUAAGUGAGGUCAAAUAUGCCUCAGAGACUCACACAAUGAAAAAGCAGGGAUCAAUUCUUUCAUUUCUCAUUGGUCAUUAAAGCACACGUGGUAUAAAAUACGUGUUACGAUAUUUUCUCCCUUCAUUUGGGUGUAUGUCAAAUCUCGCAAAUCAAAUACAUCGUACAGAUCAUAGUUCAGAUAUUUCUCAAUGUCUAAUCUGAGUUCUCCUCAUAUUUAUUCCUCUAGGUAAUCUCAAAUCGAGAACUCGAUCUAGCUGUAAAAACAUGUCUAAUGGAUAAAAAAAUCCAUACCAAUUACUUGUUGUAAUCUCAUCUUCAUAUCACAUCAAGGCGACUGGAUCAUGUACACAAUAUGAUCACUGUGUCUCAUCUCAGCACACCUCAAACUGUUUGAAGCGAUUGUUCAUGUGAGUGAACCAAUCUUAACCUGUUUGACAUACUUUAUGUGUGCAUAUGUAAUGGUAAUCUAAAAAUUAAAAUAAAAGAUUGCUCUUAACAUGUGAACUCAAAACAUUGUUCAUUAAUGGACAUAUAUGAAAAAGUUUACAUAGUAUACAAUUCAAAUUCUACGCAAUCCCAGAGAUUUAACAUGUGUCAUAAAAAAAUCUCUAGGGAUAGAUUUUGUAAGUAGGCCAGCUACCAUUUGGUACGUAGAAAUACACUGCAAACUCACUUCCUUCUUGCCUAUGAUGUCUCUCACAAAAUUAUAUUUUGUACCAAUGUGUUUGGUUCUACUGUGAUACUUGGGAUUCUUAGUAUAUGCAAUAGCAGCCUGACUAUCACAGUAGAUCAAUAUAGGUCCUACAUCACCACUAACGACUCUUAGAUGCUAUAAGAAUCUCCUUAACCAAACAGCUUUUUGUACUACCGAAGCACAUGCUAGGAAUUCUGCUUCCAUUGUGGACAAGGAAAUACAUGUAUGUUUCUUGCUACUCCAAGAGAUAGUGCCAUUAUUAAGCAAGAAUACAUAUCUCGAAUUUGAUUUGCGCUCAUCUAGGUCUCCACCCCAAUCAGCAUCUGUGUAUCCUUUUAAGCACAAAUCAUUUCCUUGAUAGCAUAGUGAGUAAUUAGCAGUACCCUUCAGGUAUCUCAAUAUCCUUUUAACAGCUUUCCAAUGUUCUCUUCCAGGAUUGGAUUGAUACCUGCUGACCAGACCUACGGCAUAACAAAUGUCAGGAUGAGUACACAUCAUAGCAUACAUCAAGCUCCCAACCGCACUGGAAUAUGGAACUCUAGAUGUUUCUUCUUUUUCUCGAGAGUUUUAGGACACAUGCGAAGACUUAGAGUUUCGUCUUUUGAUACAGGAGUGUCAAUGGGAUUGCAAUUCUCCAUUUUGAAACGUUAAAGAAUUUUCUUUAUAUAUGGCUCUUGUGACAGAGCAAGAAGCCUAUUUGAACGAUCUCUAUAGAUUUUAACACCUAAUAUGUAAUCUGCUUCACCCAUGUCCUUCAUUUCAAAAUUUGAAGACAACCAUUUCUUAAUAGUUUAAUAUACUUCUUAUCAUUCCCAGCCAACAAGUUAUCAUCUACGUAAAGAGAUAAAAUUACAAAUUUCUCAUUGGACCUUUUCAAAUAAAUACAGUCAUCUUCAUCCAUCAUGACAAUGUUGUAGGAGAUAAACAUUCAGUCAAAUCUCAAGUAUCAUUGUCUAGAAGACUGCUUUAGGCCAUAGAUUGAUCUAUUCAAUUUACAAACAUUAUUCUCUUAACCUGUUUUAAUGAAACCUACAAGUUGUUGCAUGUAAAUUUCUUCAUCCAAUUCUCCAUUGAGAAAUGCAGUCUUCACGUCCAUUUGAUGUAAUUCUAAAUCUAAACGUGCCACGAUAGCUAAAAGUAGGCGAAUUGAAGUAAAUCUUACUACUGGCGAAAAGGUCUUUUCAUAAUCUAUGCUUUCCUGUUGAGUAUAACCUUUUGCCACCAAGCAAGCCUUGCCUUAUACCUCUCUGUAGUCCCACCAGCUCUUCACUUUAUUUUGAGAACUCAUUUGUUCCCAAUGGCUUUUCGAUCAGAUGGAAGAUCAACCAAGUCCUAGACCUGAUUUGAUUUCAUACACUCCAUCUCUUCUUCCAUUGCAUUUUUCCAUUUUUCCUUUGCAGGACAUGAUAAAGCUUCUUGUACCGAACUUGGUUCUACACUAUCUUCAGAAGAUACUAGGAAAACUUGCCCUUCAAUCUCAAAAUGACAUUUAGGCAUACUUUUUCUAGUACUCUUACGAAGUGAAAGCUCCGAUAUGACCCUGUCACUUGGAGUUAGAGAUAAAUUACUCCCACUUGGAUCGAUGGGUGGAAGUGUUUCCUCUUGCACCUCAGUUGAUCCAUCAAGUACAACUCUAUCAUCUAAUUCAUAUAAAGGUUCUCCCUUUUUAAUUUCUCCCCUACUAGGAAAAUCACUCUCAAGAAAUGUCACAUCGCGUAACUCUAUUUCAGUUAUAGUCCCAUCUUGAUUUUCUCCUAUGAACACAUAUCCUUUAGACUGGUCUGAGUAUCUUAUAAAAAUACACUUCUUACCUCGAGCACCCAAUUUUCCAAACUUAUUUGAGGAAUCAUGGAUAUAGGCAGCUGAUCCCUAGGAUCUAAGAGAACUUAAAUCAGGGGAUCUACCUAUCCAAAGCUGAUAUGAUGUAGUAGGUAUUGAUUUAGAAGGAACUCUAUUCAGAAUGUAGGUCGCAGUUAACAAAGCGUCUCCCCUAUAGGAAAUAGGUAAGUUAGCCUGCGUCAUCACGGACUUCACCAUUUCUAGCAACGUUCUAUUCUUCCUCUCAGUAACACCGUUUUGUUGAGGUGUAUUGGGAAUAGUUAAUUGCCUAAUGAUUCCCUUAUCAUCACAUAGGUUUUUGAACUUUUCGGAUAGAUAUUCACGCCCUCGGUCAGUUCUCAAGGCUUUCACCUUUCUAUCUAUUUGAUUUUCUACCACAUUUAAAUAUCGUCUAAAACAUUCCAAUGCCUCCGACUUAUGAGAAAUCAGAUAGACAUAACUAAACCGUGUAAAAUCAUCUAUAAAAGUAAUGAAAUAAGAGGCUCCAUGUCUUGCCCUCACAUUUAUCGGGCCACAUAUAUCUGAAUGGACUAAUUGCAAUGGAAGUUCGGCUCUUAAAGCUUUACUGAAUGGUUUUCGUGUUAUUUUUCCGAUUAGGUAAUGUUAGAUUGAACCUAACAAGCCUUCUUUUGCCAACCUAUUCAUUCUCUCUUGUCCAAUAUGUCCUAAUCUAGCAUGCUAUACAGAUGUAUUAGCAUUCAAAUCCUUAGAAGAAGAAGAAGAUACGUUCAUAGAAAAACAACGAUCAACAUAAUAGUUAUAAGUGUUUGGAUCACAAUCUAACACUACAAAGCCACCUUCUACAUGUCCAGAUCCAUAAUACAUCACGAUUGUUUAUACGAACAGAAUUACCAUAAAAGUUCAAACUGAAACCUAAUCUUAAAAGAACAACAACGGAAAUUAAGUUCCUUCGUAUCCCCGGUGCAAAUAGGACAUCAUGAAGGAGAAUAGUACGGCCACCACGCAAAUGUAACUUGCAUGUACCGAUUCCUUUCACCUCCACUCUAUUAUCGUUGUCAACAUAUAUUCACUUUGUACCAACUGGAAAUCGACGGAACUCCACAAAUGCUUCUCGAUCCCUGGUUACAUGGUCUGUCGCUCCUGAGUCUACAAUCCACAUAGGAUAAGAUUCAGUUAGCAUAACAGUGCUUGAAACAUAAAUAGCACUAAAAGAAGUAUUUAUAAGAGCUACCUUCUUUGGCUCAAGGCGUUCCCGAGCAAAGUGACCCAGCACCUGACAGUUGAAGCAUUUCAGCUUGCUCUUAUCUUUCUUCUUUCCAAACCAUUUACCUUUCUUAUUGCGCUUGUGUUUGUUUUUUUUAGGUCCUUGUCCAGUUUCUUUUCCCUUCCCUUUCCUGCCUUUGAACCAGUUCUUCUUACGCUUAAAGCCUGAAAAUUUCCCAGAACUAGAAUAAGUUACAAAAGCUUGUCCUAGAGAUUUAGCUGCACCAAGGCGCUUAUCUUCUAGUUCUACAUGGCGAGCAGCAUCAGCAAAUGUUUUGAUACUAUGAUUAUGAGUUAAAUUGACUUUCAAAUGUUCCCAAUUAUCAGGAAGAGAGCAAAUCAAAGCCUGAACUUGUUGCUCAUCAAAGAGUAUAUGACCAGCUGAUUUCAAUUCCCUAAUCAUAGUUGACAUGAUUCUCACAUGUUGUGUGAUAUUGUGAUUAGGAAGUUUCUUGUAAGUGUCAAUUUUAAUAGUCAACUGCCUCAGUCUAGUCACACUAGUACCACCGUAUUUCUCUCUCAAAUAUGUCCAGAUGUCAUGAGCAGUCGGGAACUGCUCACACUCAUGUAUGAGAUCAUCCACCACAGAACUUACCAAAAUUGGACGAGUAGUGGAAUUUUUCUUUUUUCAUGUCUGGUAAGUUUCCUGAUCCCUUCAUUGUUGAGCAGACCACCACUGGGUCUUCCAUCACGUGGUUAAUGCCCUCAAGACAAUCCUGUUCCUCCAGCACGUACCAAAUUUUAUGGCGCCAAGUGUUAUAGUUAUCGCCAUUGAAUUUGUCACCUUUAUUUAGGUCAGCUAUGAUAUUCUUAGAUACCAUGGUCUGUCAAAAUAUUAGAGACAAUCAUAUAAAUGUCCAUUUAUGCACACAUCAUUUUGUGCUCAUGGAAAUUAAGUUUUAUGACAAUUUCACAUUAGACAUGGAGUCAAAAGUUUACUAAGUUCCCAAUCAUCAUCCAUUAUCCUAAUGUUACAUUAUCACAAAAUUAAUUUCAUAGCGUAAAAUCACAAGUUCUAAGUCAGAAUAACUUAAACUCUUUCACCCUUAGAACUCCCACUAAAGUAAAAGAUUAAUCAUGUACAAAAUUAGCAAGGCAUUUUGAAUAAAUCUGACAUAUAUGAAACAUAUACAUUAAUAUCAAAAUGUCAAAUAUGUACAUUCGUUCAUAUUAAACAUCUUUAAACAACUACUAAAAGUGAGAAAUAAAAUUUCACAUUCUUCAAUGAUUUUGAACUAACCAUACAUAUCUAAAUUAAUCACAAAAUUCUAAUUUUCUGAAUUCCAUUUUCUCUUCAAGAUCCUGACCAAAUAACUGUAGCAUAGAGGUGGUGAAUUAUCCAAAACUUCAAUAGUAACAUCAUGCCAAUAUUUAGGAAGCGUCCUCAUUAGAUGAUACAUACUUUCCACCUUACAUAUAUGCCGUCUCAAAUGUACCACUUCUCGAUGCAUCGCUUCGAGAUAUUUAAUGUGUUGUACUAGGUUAUGUCACGGAUCCAUUUCAUAGUUUCUAUAAGCACGUAAUUUUUCAACACGUUCCACAGCCCGUGCUCUACUAGCUGCUCCUCUAAGGAUGCUAAAAACGCAUGUGGAUCCAGUCAUAUCUGAUCAAGCACAAUAAUUGAAAAACUAGUCACAAUGGAUCGCAUAACCUAAUCGAGAUCCACUACUCAUGAAUGUAUAGAAAAUGUGGUACAUCAAAUACUUUCGGAGUAUUUUUUUCAUUUAAAAAAAUGAGAACACAAAAAAAGGGGCUCCCAUAAGGCAAAUACCACUUAACAACACUUAACAAAAAUAUUCUUGAUUUUUUUUUAAAAUUUCAAGAUUUAAUCAAGUCCCAAAAUAUUGUAUAUAAAUAUUUUUUAUUAUUUGAAAAUUAUUUUAAUUGCAUGAAAAAAAAAUUAAGAAUAUUCGAGGGACCAAUUUGUAAUCUUUUAAAUUGAAUUUGGAAUAAUCAAUUUCCAAAAAAAAAAAUAUAUCAUUUUGGGACCAACACACAACUUUUCAAAUUGGCACUGGAAUAAACAUCAUUAAAAAGUGUUGGGAAUAAAAAUUGCAUUUUGUAAGAUUUGAGGGACCAACAUGCAAUUUUUCAAAUAUGUUUAACAUUUAAAAGUGUGGGGACCAACAUGCAAUUUUCCAAAUUACAUUUGGAAUUUUAACAUUCAAAAGUAUGGGGACCAACAUGCAAUUUUUUUAAAAUUGGAUUUUGGAUUUCCCACCCUCUGCUGCAGUUUCAGUUUCAGUUUCAAUUUUUUUUUUCCGGGUUACUGUUCAUCGUCCUUAAAAAAAAACAGUUUUUUUAAGAUUUCUGGUGAAAUUUCGAAGGGCCAUAACUUCCUCAAUUUAAGGCCAAAUUUUAUGUUCUUUAUAUCGUUGGAAAGAUUUCAAGAAGAUCUAUCCAACCAUAUAAAAUAGGUAGUGUGAAACUUAACGUGCAAGAAAUUAUCAUGUGAUGAAGUUUCAAUUUUCUCAAUUAGGGUACGAUUUUUUCCCAAAAUAAAAAUCGAAAUGAAGUGAAAUUUUCUAGAUAUGUUCUCCAUAACAUCAUGAACAUACACAUGAACAUACAAUAUAAAUUUCAUCAAUUUAUAUGAAGUAUAUCAAAAUUCACCAUUAACGACAUUCAAGGUUUCAAAGAAAACGGGAAUUCAUACAUUUCAUUCAUUCUAAAACAUUUACAACAUGUAUUUAAGCAAGAAAACAACCUACUUAGGCUCUGAUACCAAUGUAAAACAUGCUUUCAUGCUUUUAACUGAAUUUAAGUUGUGAAACUUACUUGAAAAUCCUGAAAACAAGGUUGAAUUACUUGUUUAUUGAUUGCUUACCUCCAACACUGCCUUGUACCCGCUUCUUGGUCAAAACUCGAUCACCAAGGAAGAAGUUUGUUGUGCACAGUCCAAGAACCCAAUUAGAGAUGUAAUUUUUCGAAAAAUCAAGCCUCCACCCGCAUCCAAUUUUUACACCUUGAAAGAACCCGAAUUUUGAAUAUCCUUUUUGUUUUUUACUUUUCUAAAUAAUGAAGAAUGGAAGUUGAUGAUGGGAGUUAUGGGUGGUGGGGAGGUUAACUUUCAAAUUCAACUUUCAACCCCUCCCUCCAAAAUUCACUUCCAUGCAAAUCGGGUCGGGUAGGGUCGAGUCAACCCACAUGGGCGACCCGUUUUCUUCCAACAAAUUAAUUCUAAUCGAAUAUAACAAUUAAAAUUAUCUAAGGAAUAUGAUAAAUAAUAAAAAUCUUAGUUUAUCAAAUAUAUUCGAAUAAUUUAACUUUUAAAAUAAAUAAAUUAAUUUAAAAUUUUAAUAACUAUAUUAUUAUCUCACUUUAAUGAAUGGGGACAAUAAAAUGAAUUAUCAAAAACUAAAUAAAAAAAAUAAAAAGGGGUAUGUAAACGGGCCAACACCCUAUCCUGCCCUGCCUUUCAUUAUUAUUUUGUAAAUGAAUCCUAAUAAAUUAUUAAAAGGGUAUUUAACACAAAACAUCCCUAACUUUCAUUAUUAUUUUGCAAAAUGUCCUUACCUUUUAUUUUUUUUAACAUUUUCACCAUUAUUUUUAUAUUUCAUUGCAAAAAUCAUUAUUUUCAUCUAUUUUCUCAAUUAAAAGCUGCAAAAUAACAAAAAUACCCUCCUAUUUAAAUAAACAAAAAUAAAGAACAAAUUGUAACUAUACUCCCAAAUUUUCCAAAAUAAACUGCAAAUAAUUUUCAAAUAAAUAAUUAAAAAACAAAAAUCACUUUUUUAAUUAUUUAUUUGAAAUUUAUUUGAAAAUUUUGGAAAUAUAAUUGCAAUUUGUUCUUUGUCUUUCUUUAUUUUUAUUUUUAUUAAGCUUAUUUAAAGAAGAGUGUAUAUUUGUUAUUUUACAGCUUUUAAUUGAGAAGAUCGAUGCAAUGAAAAAUGAAAUAAGGGUGGAAAUGUCAAAAAAUAAAAGGUAUGAACGUUUUGUAUAAUAAUAAUGAAAGGUAUGGACUUUUUUUGUUAAUUACCCUUUUAAUAAUUUAUUUGAACUCAUUUGCACUUUUUAAAAAAGCUUAGGAGUAUUAUUUUAAUUUAUUCUUUUCUUUUUUAUUGUUUUAUUUAAAUAGGGAGUAUAUUUAUCAUAUUACAUGAGAAAUUUGAUGAAAAUGAUGAUUUACGCAAUAAAAGAUGAAGGUAAGGGUGUACCAAAAAAAUGAAAGGUAAAGACGUUUUACACAAUAACAUUAAAAGGUAAAGAUAUUUUGUGCUAAUUACCAUUCCUAGAAACAUCCAAAUGAACCAAAGAUGGUUGAUGUAAAAGCACAGAGGGAAAAAUUCAUAUAUUCUAGCGUAAGUAUAGGUGAUUUCAAAACUAAGAUGACAAGUUUGAAUUUGCAAAAAUCAGAAAUAUGGUAGUAACAAUCAAUUAGUUUUCUAAAAAUCAGCAUCCACUUACCUUCAAAAGCCGGAUUCCAUAUAUUAUCUCAUAUGGAGGGAGGGAGAUGAUUCGUUACAGUUAGUCGCUAAAAUCAAGCAUCCAAAUCCAACUCCCUAAAAUACUGAAUACAUGUUUAAAUCCCUCAACCACAUAAUUAAUUAAUUAUAUAAUUUAUUAAUUAAAUAUAUUAAGAUCACAUAGCUAUACAAUUUAGUCACAGAUUCAUAAUUUAGUUCGUCACAUAUUAUUUUCUGAUCAUAAAUCGUAAUUUUUAAAUAUUAUAAAUUAUUUUACGGUUACAAUUCAAAAUUUUAUAGGUCACAAUUUGUUCAUCGAUCACAAAUAAAAAAUUAAUAUGUCACAAUUUAUGUAUCGGUCACAGAUCACAAGAUCAUAACUUAUUAGAUGAUCAUAAAUUAAUAUUUUUUAGGUCACAUUGGUCACAAUUUAUCUUCAUCCGUCACAUAUUGUUUAUUGGUCACUGAUUAAUCAAUUCAAUCAAACAAAUAAUCUGUGACCAUCCCAACCUUUAUGAAAACCACUGCCUCCAAUAGUAUCACCAUCCUUAUUGCCUCCAGAACCACCAUGAGCACCAAUAGCAACAUCGUCUCCUCCCUGAUGUACUCCUUGCCCAAUGCUAGAUCAAACCUAGAACUUAGCCAACAUCACCAACAACUCACAUCACAGCCAUCACCAUCACCAACAUCCCGACCACCACAGUCUCACCACCAUCAUGAUUAGCACUAACGUCGUAGCCACACCACCAUAGCAAACCACCACAAAAUAAUAAUAAUAAUAAUAAUAAUAAUAAUAAUAAUAAUAAUAAUAAUAAUAAUAAUAAUAAUAAUAAUAAUAAUAAUCCCGACGAGCAGCAGCACUUUUGGGGAGGAAAAGCCGCGCUGAAACGACAUUUUCCGAAGAGAGAGAGAGAGAGAGACGACGGGUGGAGAGGAGAGAGGAGAAUCGGAGAGGGAAAGCUGUACUGAAAUGGCAUUUUUCAAAGAGAGAGAGGAAAUUGGAGAGAGAAUAUAAUUAAUUGGAGAUGAUGGGUGGGGAGAGAGGCCGGGUGAAGAGAAAGAAUACAAUUAACUGGAUAGGAGAGGAAUUGGAGAGAGAAUAUAAUUAAUUGGAGAGAGAAGACGGGUGAGGGGAGAAAUUGAUUUAUAUAAUUAAUAUUUAAAUAUAAAAAGUUUUAUUUUUGAAAUGUUAAACUGCUCAUCUUAUUUUUGAACCCUAGAUUUUAAUUCUAGGGUUUUUUGUAAUUACCACAAGCACAAAUUGGCAAUGUUGUACCGAUUCGACCAAUAAAAUGGGGAUCGGCCCAAAACAUUGCAAAUUGGACGUCAUAAAUAGUUCCAAAGCACUAUCACCUGCUGACGCUUUCAUAGGUGGGCCUGAAAAUGAUGCACAUGCAAUUAGGAGUGGAUGCGGUUCGAUUUGGCCUGAUUCCAAAGGAAAUUGAACCGAACUGAAUACUAAUGAGAAUUUUAGAAAUGGAAUCGAAUCGGAACCGAACCAAUCGGUUCCGAUUCAGUCCGGUUUGGUUCUUUACAUUGAAAAUGUCAAAAUAAAAUGUUCACUAAUAAAAACUCUAAAAAUGCUACCAAUGUGAUACUUUUAACAAAAUAUAGAAGAACCGAACAUACUAUUCAAAGAUCUAUUUAGGUAUAGAUUUACAAAAUGAAAACAAAAUAAUAAUCAUGUAAUCAAAGUGAAAACAAAAUAAAAAUUUUGUAUCUUAUAAAUGAAAUUAUAUAUUGUAAAUAAAUUUAUUUAGAUAUAGAUUUACCCAAUAUUCUAAUUUGGUUUGAAAAUCAAUUAAUCAAAGAAUUAUAAGAAGGGACAAGGAAAAGAGUCUAAAAUUAAGAAGGAACCCAAUUAUUUUUUGUAAAAGUGUUGGAGAUUGAGUUAUAUAUUUUACCAAAAAAAAGAAGGAAAAAAUCCAAUGAGAAUCGUCUGGUCCCGCAGUUCCCAAUUAUUUUUUAGAAGAUCUAGAACCGAAUCGGCUAGUUCUAAAUGGUUCCGAUCCGAUUCCACCGGUUCUGGAAAAAAGUGUCCACUCCUACAUGCAAUGUCAAUAAUCCAGUAUCCAAAAUGAUGCAGUCAAUUUUGAUUGAAAAUGGUAAAAAUUCAAAAUCAGAGUAAUUUUGGAUUGAGGAUAUGGAUUAAAGAGAGGUUGAGAUAUGUGGAAGACUAUUUCAAGGUGUGGAGUCAUAAGCCAAAACUAUUGAUGGUCGUCUUUUCAUAGUUAAUUAAAUCUUCUUUUGUUUUCCAUCAUUACUAAAGAAAUAUGUUUCCAAUAGCGUUCAUUUUGAAACAUCUUAUCUUCCAUCUCUCUAAUUCUCUAUAUGAAGCCAAAGAGUAGGGAUAGCAAAAAACUCCCUUUAAACCUGAUAUCAGCGGGCCCCGUCCCAAACUAGGUGGGUAUUACCCACUUAAUCAACUAUUCAAGUUGGGUUCGGGUCGGGAAAUUUUGCCCCGAGGCUGGUAUGGUUAACUCCCGCCUCCGUCCCACUUAUAUAUUUAUUUAAGAAUUCAGUACUUUAAAUCAAAAAUCUCACGAAAUUUCAUUAAUUUUACUAAAAGACGACAAUUAAGAUUAUCUAAGGAAUACGAUAAACAAUAAAAACCUUAAUUUAUCAAAUAUAUACUAAUAAUUAACUAUUAAAAUUAAUUAAUUAAUUAAAAAUUUAUUUACUAUAUUAUUAACUCACUUUAAUGAAUGGAGACAAUAAAAUGAAUUAUCAAAAACUAAAAAAAAAAAAAAAAGAGAGAGUACGUAAACGAGACAAGUCCCGCCCUACCUUAAACGGAUAACGGGGGGAGAAAUUACCGGGUGGGGCGGGGUUAUUGCCAUCCCUACUAGUAGAAUAGUUUCUCUUGCAGGCACAGAAAACUAGUAAUAUUAUCCACGUCAGAUUUUUUUUCCUCCUUCAAAAUUUCCUUAUGUUCUCAUUUUUUAGUAAAAUAACAAACUAAAAGCCAUAAAAAUAUUUAAUCGACUCAAUUAUUAAUUCUUUUCUCUAUUUUUUUUAUCUCAUUUAUAUUAAUAUUAGAAGUGGAUCGAAUAAAAUUUAAUUGUAAUCAAGUUUAUUAAUUAAUUUUUAUUUCUAUAUAUAAGUCAUUUUGAAAAAAUAACAUAUUUUGUCAAAAAAAAAAAUAUAAAUACAUAUAGCGGUUCAACCUCGAUUUAAUCUUUCAACCCUUGACCCUUUAACUUUUUCAGAUAUAUGGCCAGGUAUUUUUUUAGAAUAUUGGAUAUUGUAAUUUUUUUUCCCUUCCAUAAUCACCAGUAUUGUCCAACCAACACAUAAUGAACGUUGAUUCGUGGAUGCAAAGAUGCCAUUGAAUGAAAAAGAUGGGGUGGAUAGUAUGUUCUUCCAAUAAACACGGUAUUAUACAAUUCAAAGAUUCUCAUCGACCUGAUAUGAAGGCAAGCACAUGUGGCCAACUUUUUGAACUUAUAUAGGUAAAUUAACAAUCAUGCUACUUGUACAAUGAAUUUGACAAUAAAUUUGACAAUGUGAGAGUUGACAAGCAUCAUGUUCAUUGAUUUGAAAAAUUGUUUCUAAAUUCAAUUGCUGGGAUCUUUACACUUUACACAUUUUCAAACUCAUUGUAAAUAUUUAUUAUACAAAUAGAUUCAUUCGUAUACGAAUGACUACGUGGAAAUAAAACGAAAGGAAGAAACCAAGAGAAGUACCUUCAUUUUCUUGAGCAAAUCAUAACCAGCAUUCCUUUCACACGAUAAUUUGUAGAGGAGUGCUUCAGAACCCGGGAUUAAAUCCCAGGUUUCAAUCCCAGGCCGAGGUGGACCUCGGCUCUUGAUCUUCAAUCACGCGAGGCUCGCAUGAUUUCGCAUUGGGGGCCAAGGUUUUGCCACCUUGGCCCUAACUCCAAACCCGGGAUUUUAUCCCUGUUUGAGCAGCAAUUUCCUAAUUUGUAAUACAAGAUUUCUGAUUUGUAACAAAUUUAAUUGACUGAUGAUGAUUUGUCAGUAAAUAAUGUAAUUAAAACUGUAUAUUAAAGGAAGAAAAUUAUAUAAGUAAUCAAACUAAAAUUUUAAAAUAAUGUUUUAUAUUGGUUAUGUUAUAAAUAAUUUAAAUUAUAAAACGAUUUAUUGAGCAAUAGAUGAAAAAUAAAAGAAGUAAUAAAGAAUAAUUUUUUUGUCAACAAUAAACUACCAAAGUAAUGUCGAUGAUUGCCAGAGACAUCAUGAUCAAUAACUGCUUACCGAAGUGGGUUGGUGAAUUAGGAAUCACUUACGGUAUUGAUGAUAUUUUAUCUCGAAUUCUCCAUAAGUGAUCAUUAAUAUUUGACAAACUAAAUUUUUUUAUGAUAGUUUCGUCAAUAAAUAAAGUAGUUAAAAUUUAAUAUUAACAAAUAAAUAUUAUGUUGUUAAUACAAUUAAAACUUGAAAAUAACAUAAAAUUAAAAAACCAAAGAUUUCAUAAGUUACUUCAAAAUAAUAAAAGAUGUAAAAAGAUGCUUCCCUACCGCAUAAUUAAUGACCAAAGCACUGUCGAUGAUUGCCACUUACAUAAUUAUCAUCGAUAAAUAUGGACGGAAAUAGAGAUGUGCCGACAAUCAUCAAUGGUAUCGCUGUCAAAAGUUCCAUCCACAUUAUGUACGAAGUUUUUGUUGGUGAUUGUAAUUUUAUUAUUAUCAUCACGGUAAUUAUAUGUCUUUUCUUUUUUCGAAUUAUUAAAGUAGUAGAUUUGUUAUUGGGUGCUUUUAAACUUCAGUUAGCUUUUACUGUAAAAUGCGAUAUAGUGGAUGUUAUGUUAUCUGCUUGAAUUUGUAAUAAUCACAUUUGGUUUCCUUAAAGGUGAUGAAGCUGAAGUAAUUUCCCAAUGACCAUUCAAUGGUAUAUUACAUUAAAUUCCAUUAUUACGAUAUCUGGUAAACCUGUUUGUUUCUCAUUUUUUCCUCAUUAAAAUGAAAAAUAUGAUUAUUAUCCGUCACAUCAAGCCACCAAAUUUGAAUUUCUAUAUCUUGUGUGGAGUCCAUAACGACUAUAUUUUUCAUUCUCAUUCUUACAAAAAUGAGAAACAAAAGGGGCUAGAUGUCUGUUUUGCAUUGAAGUCCAGGAUUGGAUAUGAGAACACCCCCACCCCACAACAAAAACAAAAAAAAAAUAAAAACAAAAACAAAAACAAAAAAAAAACUGUUACAAAUGAAGUGGAUGUUGAGAAUUAAAAAUUCUUAUUUUAUUCUACCAAGAGCAAUCAAUUGAAGAAAUAAAAAUAAACACUCAAAAGCAAGCAAAAUUUAUAGAGUUUCGCCUCAACGUGAAACUACGUCUUCUCUUGUCGGUACAGUAACUCGCUAUGAUAAAAAAAGGUUUACAAAAGCACUCCUAUUCUCUCUCUCUCUCUCUCUCUCUCUCUCUCUCUCUCUUUAUAAUAAUUAUAAAGUCGAACCACGGCUCCCUAUUUAUAAAGCAUAUAAAGGCAAAAUCGAAUUUUACAAUAACUCCAAUUCCUUAAUAAAAUUUUACAAGAAUACAAAUAUCUAAACAAUUCUUAGAUUAAAUUUUGGUUAGGGUAUCUCCACCCCACCCCUGGGGCCUCCUGCUCCCUUCCAACUCCCACAGCAACCUCACCACAGAGAUUGAUCAAUGCCAACUUCGUGAAAUAACAAUAAUUAUAAUCGAUAAUAAUUAAACUCCCUAACUUAACAGUGAAUGAUUACUCGAAUUCGGCAAGUGAUGUGGUAAUGGUACAUGCAAGUACACUUCUACAACGAAUUUUGGUGGUGAUAUGCAAGCGGAGGUAUGUUUUUAGAUGAAUUAUAAGAAACGGAUCGAAUAUUCGAAUUUUUGUGUUGCACUGUCUUAUUCAUUAAAGCAUGUAUUUAUAGACCAAAAAAGCAGAGCGAAUUCCAUUUCAUAUUUGAUUAACUCAAUAGGUAAUGAAAUUCAUUAAUUUGAUUUUCAAAAUUAGUCCUUUGUUUAGACAAGUUGAUUCACAAAGUAACGUGUGUCAAGUACUUCUAUCAUGUGUUCAUACAUGGACCAUUGAAGGGGCGAACAAGGCAGUGGAAUGAGGGGGACCGCCAUAACAGAGGAGAAUUUGAUUUCAUAAUUUGAAAAAAAAGGGGCCGAAGUAUAAAAAAAGGUGGGCAUGAGUAAAAAUGCUUAAACGAGAAACUUAGCCACAACUGCUUUAUAUACUAGAAAAAGAUGUUACAGUUUAAAUAACAAGCUUUACAAACUACGAUAACGAGUAAAAAGUCUAUCCACCAUUUGUGCAACACAAGUAAAAUACAUUGAUAUAUCAAUAUCCAAUUAUACGAAUAGCGAAAGCUAGAACAGAGUUUGGGUUAUCUACUCUAGCUUACAUUUGGCAAUGGAUCCUUUUUGCCACACAUUGCCAAGAAAAACUUAGAGACCGACCCAGUGUGAGCGAACAUUAGAGUUGUGCAUAGAAGACGCACUGGGAGAUGUCACACGCCAUUCGUACCAAACCAGUGAUAAUUAAAUUAAAUGCAAUUAAUAUCAGGUGAGACAUAAAGAGUUAAGUAAUUCCAAACCUAUAUUCUCUGUUUCUUGCCCAGUGUUUUUAUGCAUGUCCUAGGACAAAAAGGACAUUUCAAAAUUAGAUGGAUUAAACCCACCAGCCUAAAACAAAUUCUAAUUCACUUCUUGCCUAUAGAGAAUAAUAAUAAUCAUUUUCAGCAGCAAGUAUAGAAAUUGCCCGUAUAUCCAUUACUUAAGGCUAAGCAACAUAAAAAAUUAUUUAGAUAAUUAGGAUAUAAUUUAAAUUAAACAUUGCAAACACAUUGGGACAGAUAUUAUUUAUCUUAGGAUUCCUAAGUGGAGAUGAUCAUCUGACAAGUUAAUAGCACCAACUCUACUUUAUUAUAGGUCUCUUAGUGCAACGCAUGACCGAGAAUUCUACAAGUGCAAGAUUCAAUUUAAUUUGAGCUUUUAUCUCAUUUCAAUCGCUUUAACAGUUUCAACACUACAUAAUCAAGAAUCGAUGGACCUCCAAAUGUGUAUUCUGUGUCACUCAAACUGGCGUACUCAAUAGGAAAAAUAUCGGAAACCUGCAGAAAUCGAAGCCAACCAAAAGAGAACAAUCAUCUCAUGGAUAAUAUAUUCACUCCAAUGUACAAUUUCUUUCAUGGUGCAUUUUAUGUUUUCAUAGAACUUUUUCAAUUGAAUUUUCACUUUUUCUUUAUUGUGCGGUUGGGGGAGAGUAGGAGGGUGUCUUAUAUUUUAGUGGCUUUAAAUAGUAUCUUUACUAAUGAAUAUGGGAUCAACGCAUACCAAAACCAACUGUACCUAUAGAUACGAUAAUAGGCAGAAAUAUUUGUCCAUAAUUUUGCAUGAUUAGCAUUACCUUAGAUUUUUGGAAAUAUUCAUGAAAGAAAAUAUUUGGUGUUGCUGUUGAUAGUUCAAUAAACCAUUUGAAACAAACACCAACUAAAAGAAUAUCUCAAUGGUCGCCAUCUGCUACAUGAUGUCAUUGGAAGUAUAUUUUCUUGAUUAACAAAAUCAACAAUUUACGCUUUAACCUCUCUACAUUCCAGGAUAUGUUGUUCUUGUCCAUUAUGUCAUCUUUUCCAACACCGAUUUGACUACAUGACAUGGCCUUGGCUUGGAAAAUGAAACACUUUGUCAACAAAUAUGAAUACAACGCAACUGAUAAAGCUAUUAUAUUAGCCUUCUUCAUCACUAUGGGCAAAGCUUGCAUUGAGCCCAUAAUUGGCUAUAAUCAUCAUGUGGUGACUGAUAAGUGUGUUUUUGCACACUCAUUUAAUGCCUAAAUAAAUUUAAAUAUUGAUUAAUUGAGCAAAUUUCCAUUCACAAUAAUGUAAUUAUUGCAUUUGUAAGUAAAAAUCACCCAAGGUAAUAGAAGAGGUAAAAGGAAGUGAAAAGGGACCAAAAGCGUACAAAAUUGUGAAGUUGGGGGACCAAAAUGCAUAAGUGUCAAAAGUUCAAGGACUUGGGAUUGCAAAUUUUGGAGGGCGUAAUUGAAAGAAAGUCAAAAUUUGAGGACCAAAUUGUACAGUCCAAAGUUGAGGGAUAGUGUGCAAAUAUGGGAGGACGUGAACUACAAAUAAUGAAAAAUGGGAAGUAACGCCACUGGCACCACUAUAGCAGCGCCACGGCUAUGAACAUGACCUAUUUGGCUAUAUUUUUGUAAUUGGGGACCAUUUUGCAAUUAACCAAACACGAUUUUUGGGCCUUUUAAAAGGAAAAUUCAACAGUGUUUCCCCUAUUUCUCUCUUGAACUUGAAGAGAACCCUAGCCUCCUCUUUCUCUUUCACUUUCCUUUUCAUUUUUUCUUUCUUUUUCUUUUCUUCUUCUUCUUAUCUUUUCUUUGGUAAUUUUUGGGGCACAAUCUAGAGCACAAGCAGAUUUGAUUAAGGAUUUGACAAAGCUUUGGGGAAAUCAAGAGCAAGUUCAAAAAAGGAUUUUAUCUACAACUUGUAUUUUCUCAAUUAUUUUGUCAAACUUGCAAUGUAUUGUACAAAAUAUUCUCCUUUUUAUCAUUUGUAUGAAAUGGGCAAGUUAUUUGUGUUGGGAUUUAUUGUUGUAGUUUAAUCUAGCCUUGAUUAAUUUUAAUAUUUGCCCUUUGAUAUUGAUUUGCUUAUUUUCAUGUGUUUUUCUUCUAUUGUAUUUCAUGCAUUUUCAUUUAUGUGGUCAAUGAAUGAUUAUGUUUAGUGAAUUUUAUAUCGUUCAAGAGAAGAUUGUGCAUUUUAGAUCAAAUAGUAGAAACCCUGAGUUUGUAUAGGGGAUAGAGAUAUACCCCUAACCCUAGAUGACCCAAUGAGCUAUUUUCACAAAUAUUUAAUGCAAUUGUUUAGUUUUAAUCGAUAUAGAGAUAUAAUAGGGUUAAUUUCAUUCGAGAGAAGUAAUUAAUUAAAAUUAAAACAUUGAGUCUAACAUCGUAAAUGAGUAACUUUUUAAUUGACUUGUGGUGAAAUUAAUUAGGCGACGGUUAAAUGAAACCAUGAAUCUCAACCACGUUUUCUUCCAAAAUUUUCAAGAUUUUUAUGUUUUCUUAUUUUGUAGGUUUUUAGUUAAUUUCCUUAUUUCAAAAUCAUAUUUUUAAUUAUGUGUGUUUAUUUUUAUUGUUAGAAUUAAAUUAUUAAUUACGGUUGCGUAAUCUAAAGUAUAUAUUCCUCAAGGGAUCAACAAUCCGGACUCAAAAUGUCCACUUUAUUACUUGAACGCGACUUGUGUACUUGUGAUGUAUAAUUUUAGCGAAACAGUAAAAAGUAAUCAAAAGUACAAGGAUGUUACAAGCAAAGCCUGACAAUAAUACCAUAAUCAAGGAAUAGAAAGUCUUUCCAAUUGAAACUAACGUUCAGCUUGAGCCACCAUAGCUUUGCAAUCCUAAAACAGACAUAAAUUUAGAUAAUAGUAGUUCUUAUUUUAUUAAUUCAUCAACUGCAAUCCUAAAACAGACAUAAAUUUAGAUAAUAGUAGUUCUUAUUAUAUUAAUUCAUCAGCUAACAUAUAAAUCAGUCCUUCCUAUAGAUUACUAGUUGAGUGUGAAGGGGCAAAGCAAAUCGAAAAUAAAUUGCUUUACAUAAUAAUUAUACAAAAUGGCUAAUUUUGGGCAAAAGGUUGAAAAAUACUAGGCAACCCUUCCAUUUCUGAUGAAACAGAUAUACCAUAACAGAAUAAUUGACAUUCCUUCCCCUUUCAUCAUCCAACUAAACUUUCUUUAAGAAAAAAAUAUCUCAAGUUAAAAAUCCAUGAGUAACAGAAUUUUUUUCUGUGGUUUUUUCUCCUCUUUGCCCAUUGUUUUUUCCUUCUUGGAUUUUCAUGUAAAUUUUGUGCUCUUGUUAUCAUUUUAUAUUGUCAAUUCUUGCUUUUUCUUAAUAUGUAAUUUGAAAAAAAAUAAUAAUAAUAAAAUAAAAUUAGGCUUGUAAAAUAGGUAGUCCGGGUAAAGUUAGCAGUGAACAAAUAUAAUAUGAAUGUGAAAAACCAAGUGACAUCAAGCCAAAAAGUAGCUGGAUGAACUAUGUAUAUGUAUUAUUAUUAUGAUUAUGGUUAGUAGAUCUAUAGUAUGCUACAAAUACCUAGAUAUACAAUUACCAAAUUCCCAGGUAAACGCAAUUUAUUUUCACUUGCAUUCAACUUAUAAAGUGAAUAAUUAUUCAUUGUCAACAACUUCUACAGCAUUAUAGAAAAAAUGAGAUAUCUAGGAACUAGGUAUUUGAUCAAUAAAAAUAGGGAAGGUGGCUCAAGGGAGUGACAAAAUUAUUAAUAAGAUGAGGCAAAUUAAAGAAACAAACAAAUGUUGGAAGUUGAAAUCUACUUAAGAAACAAAAAGUACUUCCCUAUCAGUCAGAAGGGACAAUAUGAUAGAUACCAAAACAAGGCAAUUGCUAAGAGAUUCAAAGAUUACAUAAUUAUAAGCAAGAAAAAAAUAAAUAUUGAUGAUUUAUUGUAGUUGAUAAUGGGGGUUGGCUAACAAACCUUACGUAGAAACUAUACCAUUCGCAAUCAAACCAUGAUCCCUGAAUUUGAAACGGGCAUAUAACGAUUUGCAAAAGAGAUAAUGGUGUUGGAUUCCCGGUGGAUAAUGCACAUGCACUAGGAUUGAACAUAGAGGAAAUCAUUGAAAAUAACCCAAUAACCCAUGUGUAUUUCCAAAGUAACCUUUGACUAGUUUUUAGAGGAAAAAACGAAAAUUGAUUUUAAAGGUCAAAAUCCCAAAAUACCCUCAGACGGUCACUUUCCCAUUUGCUUAGAGUCGGCCAAAACCAAGGAAAAGCUACAGUCAAUUUCCAAUCAGUAGACGUUUCCAGUUCAUCUCCGGCGACCUUCUUCUUGUUAAAAUAAGCUUCGAGUUGUUAAUUAACUAGAUUAAUGUUUAGAUUUUCAUAUUGUGUGUGAAUGUUGAAUUCGUGAAGGUUUUUGGAAUGUAAUAUUGGUUAUGUAGGUGUAGAAUUAUGAAUAUGGGUCUAAAUUGAAGAAUAAUAGGUGGAUUUUGAGAUUUGCAAGCUUUUCUCGUUGGAAAUGGAGAUUUUCCGACGAGAAAAGCCGAAAAAAAUGCCGGCUACCAAAGCCGGCAUUUUGGGUAAAACCCGACUAUGUUUGCAGCCGACAUUUUGGGGAAAACUCGACUGUUAACAGCCGGUUGGCCCAAUUGUCAUGGGGACUGUUUUUAUUUUUCAUGGACUGACUAUUUUAAGUGGGCCGACUAUUAUAAUCGGCCCAAUAACAAGUUUUUUUUUUUUUAAUUUGGGCUGAUUAACAGUCGUCCCAUUAUUUGGGCUGCCUGUUUAGUCAGCCCGUUGACUGUUAAGCAGGCCGAAUGUUAUGGUCGGGCCGAUGCCUUUAUUUAUUUUUUAUUUUUUUCUUACAUAUAUUUAAGAAUUUCAUUUUAAAUAAUUUUAAUUAUUAGUUUUUAAUAAAUAAUAAUUUAUUUAUUUGUAAAAUUUAAAUGUGAUAUUGAAUUUGAAUAUUUAUUUUUAUUUCCUCAUUUUUGAUAAAUAAUAAUUUUUCAUUCUCGAAUUUAAUUAGUUUUUAUAAUUUUAAUAUUUAAUAAUUCUUUUAAUUUUAAAUUUAAAUUUCAUAUUUAGUUUUAUUAAUAGUUUUUAUAAACAAUAUUCUUUUCGUUAAUCGAAUUUAAUUAAUUCUUGUCAUUGUAAUUUUGAAUAAUUAUUUAAUUUUAAAUUUUAUUUUUAUUUUUAUUAAUAGUUUUUUAUAAAUAAUAUUCUUUUCGUUAAUCGAAUUUCAUUAAUUCUUGCCAUUGUAAUUUUGAAUAAUUAUUUAAUUUUUAUAUUUCAUAUUUAUUUUUAUUAAUUGGGAUGACUGUUAACUGUAGACUGACUGCUAAUAGUCUUAGGCCGACUGUUAACCGUCAGACUAUUAACAAUUUAAUUUUUUUUAAAUAUAUAUAUUUAAUUUUUUAAUUUUUUAAAUAUAUUUUAUAAUUAAUUUAUUAAUAAUUAUGUUAUUUUUUUUAAUUGUCUUUUAUUUAUAUAAUUUAAUAAUUGAAUAUUAUCUAAAAGUAACAAUUUAUUUUCCAUGUUAUUUAUUUAAUUUAAUUUUUUUUGUAAAUAUAUUUCCCUAGUGUAAUAUACAAAAUUAAUUUUCUUUAUAAUUUUCAUUUGAUUAAAUAAUAAUUAUGUUAUUUAUUUAUUUAAUUCUUAUAUUCUUUAAUUUUUUAAAAUUUAUUUAAAUAAUAUUUAUAUUCUUUAAAUUUUUUUGAAAAUAUAUUUAAUCUUUCAUUUUUAACUUUUUUGUAUUAUUUAAAUAUUAAUAAUUUCCUUUUGCUGAAAAUCUCAUUAAUUUGUAUUUGAAUUUAAUUAAUUAUUUUUAACAUUUGUGUUGAAUUUAUUUUGUUAUUGGCGUCAAGAAUUCGGUUCCCAUUGAUUUUUUGAGAUUAUGCGUUAUUAUAUUAUCUCUUGUUCAAUGUUCUAACAUUUGAAUUUUUGCAGGAUGGAGCAUCAUUUAAAUGGGGAGUUGAGACGGAAGGCAGGGAAAGCUACUUGGAACAGUAGUUUUGAGAUUUUUACUGUUGUGUUGGAGAUGCUCAAUGAUCAUCACGGAAAUAUGCUACGACAAUCCUUCUUGUGGGCACUGUACUAGAUGCAAGAGUUGCAGUACUCAGGACUAAUCAUCGAUGCACUUCUAUGUCAGCUUCUGAGGCCAGUCGACGGCGAUUCCCUCCACUUCGACCUCGGGGGCAAGGUCGUCAGUUUCUCGAUGUCUAAGUUUAGCUUGAUCACUGGACUGAAGAUUAUGGGCGACGAUGCAGACAUUGAGAUAAGCAAUAGGUUGUACGAGACGUACUUCCAGGGACAUGGGUCGGUGCAUCUACCUGAGUUGAUGGUUUCGAUCAGGGGGUACGACUAGAUGCUAGAUAGAUUGAAGCUUGGGCUGGUCUACAUCCUCGAGAAUGUGAUAAGGUGUCAUCACAAGAAGACUGCCAUCGACAUUUUUUCAUUUGCAAGUUGUUAACGACAUCGAUGCGUUCAACAACUAUCUAUGAGGCCGGAGAUGCUACAAAGACACCGUACAUGUGCAUGUGUUUAUUAAAUGAAUAACUCAUACUUUUUUGGUGUUUCUUGAUGUAGCACAUCGACCUGGCCAUGGACUUGCUACGAGAUCAAGCUCAAAGACAUCCAAAAUCAUUUGAUGUCCAUGGUCGAGUCAUAUUAAACACUGAGUUCCUGCGUGUCGUUACCAUAGAGUAUCAGUCGCUCUAACUUAUGAGUAACGAGUACACGGUGCUAGAAUAUAUGCUCGAGUGGUCAUAUGAAUUUCACCGAGUGUCGGGGGAAAAUCAUGGGAGGGUUGUACACAUAUGUACAUUCCAACGUGCAUCAAUAAUCACUAUGUUACGCUGAAGAUCGUUUUUCCUGACACGACUAUAUAUGUGUACGAUGCAGAUUAUUCAUGUUUGACACAAGGCUAGCUGGAGCAAAACCUGGAGUCUGUAGCUGUAAUUGUUCCUAUGAUGGCCAGACGAGCGGGGAUAACUGUACAUGACAGAUUGCGGAUUGUUUGAAACACGACAACAGUGUGACAGUCCAUAAGGUAAGUGUUUGAACUUUGUUAUUUUCAUCUUUCAGAUUUAGUUUUUAGCUACACAGUACUGAAUUGAUCCAUUCUUGUUCAAUUGUAGUGGCGACUGCGGCAUAUUUGCCAUUAAGUAUGAUGAAUUUUUAAAUAUAGGACAUAAGGUUGAUAGAAUCAACCAAUCGUUGGUACAGAACUGGAGAAAGAAGUUAGCUUGUGAUUUGUUCGAAUUUAAUGGUAACCCGUAAAUUUGUAUUAAAUAUAUGUAACAUUCGAAUUGUAAAUUUAAUUAUUUUUUGUGAUUAUGAAAUAAUUGUAAAUUUGAAUUCAAUAUAUAUAACAUUCACAUUGAAAAUUUAAUUAUUUUUUUGUAAGUUGAUUUUUUGUUAUUUUACACAUAUGCCGAGUAUGGAACUACUUUUUUCAUAUGAAUCAUUAUAAAUACCAUUUAUUAAGAAUAAAUAUUGAAUAUUGAACAUUUAUGAAGAACAAAUAUUGAACAGUGUAAAGUAAACGUAAAUAUUAUUCAUUUAACGUACAUGUCUAAUUGUCAUUUAGGGGAAUUUGACUGGUACAAAAUUGCCUAGUAUGCCCUAUUGCUCUGCACCUGCCACACCUACGCGGUCGAGGAAACUCUCCAGUAGAUGGUAUUCUAGAUGUACUUGGACAUCCAGGACCAUGCGGUUCAACUACUGGUGGCAACAAAUUAUGAAACGGGAGAAUAUGUUCGGGAACUUCCCACUCGACUUCAUUCGGCAGAGGAAAUAUAGUCUCAGCAUAUGCUGUUCUCCAAGACUCAGUCGUAUAAUAUAAAGAGCAUAACGUUCUUGCAGCAAAGCCUUGAAACAUGGCCACUGCAACUGCAUGCUCACAUGAAAAACUCUCCAACUGAAAUCUCGUACAAAUGCAUGUGUUAUCAGUCAAGUCCACCAUAUAUGCCGUAUUACGUACACAUUGCACGGAGAAGCAAAACUUAUCUAGUGCUUCCACAUUCAACUUCCUCACAACCUCUGCCGCCUUAAAGAGUUUCUCCUCUUAAGCUGGGUCCAACACGCUAGUGCAACUCUGUGAUGCCGCACGUCGAUUAUGAAACCACUGUUGCAGCUUGUUACGAAUGUGCUCAAUCAUUGCGAGAAUUGGUAACUCUCGAUCCUUCUUAAAUAAUGCAUUUAGAGACUCCGUGUUAUUCGAUGUCAUCAUGUUGUAUCGACGUCCUGGAAAGUAUGAUCGCGCCCAAUGUUCGAUCCCCAUGUUCGUCAGAUACUUCAACGCCGGUAAUGAUUUGCUUCCUAUCUCGAACAUGAACUUAUUACACUCUUCAGCAUCGAUACCUAGUUUUCAAAUUACCUUGUAUAUGGUACAUCCAAUACCCGUGAUGUGCCUCGAGAAAAACUUCAACGAUACCGUUUAUUAUAGACUGUCCCCGAUUGGUUAUAAAGGCAAGGUCUUCAACUUUCCCGAUCACUUUCUUCAGUUUAGAAAAGAAUCAACGCAUGAACAGAUUAUUCUCAUUGUCACUAUGUCGAAUGCAAUAGGGUAAAUUUGGAUGUUGACAUCUUGACAUGUAGCAAUAAUUAAUUUGCCUUGAUAUUUAGCUUUCAGAGUUGUACCAUCAACUAGAAUUACGGGUCGCAUUGCAUUUCGAAAACACCGAAUACAUUGUCCGAGAGCCAUGAAGAAAUACGUAAAAUAAUUAUCGCCCCCCGUCUCAAUAAAAAAUGUCAUGCCAGGAUUAGUUGUCCCCAUGUUAUGACAAUACCUGGCCAAUUUAGCAUAGCUCUCCUAAGUCGAUCCCAUUAAAUCCUCCAACAUACAUUCUUUGGCCUUCCAGGCUUUCUGGUAGCUCAUGACCACUCUAUACUCUCGACCGACGUCGUUAAUGAUGUUUGAAGGUCUAUAGAUCGUCCAUGGGUCCUGAUACUUGAGCCUUGUCUGUUGACCAAUAAACCAUGCUCGAGCUUGUCUGUAAUCAUUUCGACAAAUUUCCACUUCGCAAGUAUGUUCCCGUGCCUAUUUGCAAACUACAAAGCACUCAUUCUUGUCCAUCUUAGUCACUCUCAAGCGCCAAUUGCAAUUGUCGCCAACGCAGGUAAUUGUCAACAAUGACUUGAUUGAUUUCUUUACAUUGAACUAAAAUUUAUAUUUUAAUGUCAUCCGGUGCACAGCUUCCUACAAAUCUUUCUUGGUUUCAAAUAGUUGUUGAACAUACAAAUCCUUAUCAUCAGGAGCCACACGGGAAAAAUUGGAGGAUGGUCCACUUGUUCCACUCCUUGAGCUCCCACCUCGCUCAGAUCUCUGUCGGGAUAAAGUAAUUAAAAUUUCAUUUGUAAAAUCAUUUAUAUUUUUGUUGUCCUCAACUGUCGAUGGAACUCUAUGCGUAAUAGUGACUUCACGAUCAGUAACAACUGUUUCAGGAAUAACCACAUCAUCUGCAGGAAUUAUCUCCGCUGUCUCCCAAAAAUCUCUGUCAUUAUUAUCCGCUCCAUCUGAAUCUUCGCGUUCACCUUCGACAACAUCAUUCUUAACUAAAGUCAAGCCAAGAGCAGCUGGAGUCCUAUGCAUUUUAUUCAAUUCUAAUAGAUAAUUCAAUUCAACAUUAUUAAAUAUAGGUGGCAUCGGAAUGGACGAAUCCCCAUAACCAUUGAAUAAAUAUCUCAGUUGCAUAUUGUACUGAGAAGGAUCGACAUUCAGCUUAUUUUACAAAUCCCGGUACACUUCCGCACCGCAUAUGAUGUAUUCUGUUACGAAAAUUGCAAUACAAUCACAUACAUCACUCGUCCAUCUCCAUUACCAUCUAUUAUUUUCAUUCAGUUCGAAAUCACCGAAAUAACAGACCGAGAUUAUCAUAUCUACAUGACUAUAUAGAAUUUUUAAAUCAAUUACAACAACAAAAAUUCAGAUAUUUAAUCAACUUGUAAUUAAAAUUAUAAGACAAUUGUCAAAACAUUAAUUAUAAUAUAAAAAAUUUCAUAAAACAAUCGAGAAAAACAGCCGACUAUGGACUGUUUUACAGCCGACUGUCAAUUCGACUGUUUAACAACCGACUAACAGUUGGCUGUCGACUGUUAGAUAGUCGACUGUCUAACAGCCGUCGGUCAACUAUUAGAGAGUCGUCUAACAGCUGACUGUCAGCUGUUAGACAGUCUUUUGACAAUCGGCUGUCUGCUGUGUAACAUUUUUCGUUAACAUCCCACAGUUAAUCGUCGGACUGUUUAUUUUGCGUAUGACUUUUUAUUUUUCUAUGGUUCUAAAGAAAAAAAUUAUAGAUCUGUUAAAAAUUUUUUUAUUAACUACUGUGUUAUUUAACCACUCAAACGUACACUAAUUUACUAAAAUCGAAAUUAAGCAUGUGUAAAAAUAUGCUUACCGAUUUGAAGUAAUUGAUCUGAAAAAAGUUUUGGCUUCGACGUUUGAAGUUUUUUGAUAUUUUGAGGUUCAAGCAGAUGAAAAAUGAGAGUUUUUCUGUGUUCGAAACUCGUUCUGCAGUUUUAUAAGUGGGGUAGUGUUUGGUUUUCAAUUAUUAACUAAAAGAGUAAUAAUGUCUUUAAAACUAUCCAAUAUUUUGUAAUUAUAUAAUAUAUUUAAUGGCAUCUCUGUCUUUUACCAUUCAAAAGGUUAAUGUGAUAAUUUUCAAGUUUUUAAAAGUCAAAGUGGAAAUAAGGGUCUUUGACUAGGUCAAUUUUAAAAAUACCCCAUUGAACAUAGCUGCUUUAAAUGUCCCAUUACAAGAGAAAAAAAACUCCCAGAAUCAUCUACAAAUUUGAAGAAGUUAAAUUUGGGUAUGCGAAUUCUUUAAAGGAAAUACCAUAUGCAAGAGCCAAUAACAAGGCUCAAACACAUAUCUAACCUCGAUUUUCCCCUAAUCGGUAUUGGCGACUAGCUGUGACGAUUGACAUUGCAGAUUUGACAGCGAGAGUAGCGGAAAAAGAGAUAUUACUUUUGUCUUAAGAGAUUAGGAUUUCCACUUCCCCUUUCCUCGGGGUACUUUUAAAAUUGACCUAGUCAAAGGUCCUUAUUUCCACUUUGACUUUUAAAAAUUUGAAAAUUAUCACAUGAACCUCUUGAAUGGUAAAAGACAGAGAUGUCCUUAAAUAUAUUAUAUAAUUACAAAAUAUUGGAUAGUUUAAAAGACAUUAUUACCCUUUUAGUUAAUAAUUGAAAAUCAAACAUUUCCCCACUUAUAAAACUGUAGAACGAGCUUCGAACACAGAAAAACUCUCAUUUUUCAUCUGCUUGAACCUCAAAAUAUCAAAAAACUUCAAACGCCAAAGCCAGAAUUUCUUUCAGAUCAAUUACUUCAAAUCGGUAAGUAUAUUUUUACAUAUGCUUAAUUUCGAUUUCAGUAAAUUAGUGUACGUUUGAGUAGUUAAAUAACACAGAAGUUAGUAGAAUUUUUUUUUAACAAAUCUAUAAUUUUUUUCCUUUAAAACCAUAGAAAAAUAAAAAUUCAUACGCAAAAUAAAUAGUCCGACGAUUAACUGUGGGAUGUUAACGAAAACUGUUAGAUAGCAGACAGCAGACUGUCAAAAGACUGUCUAACAGCCGCCAGACGAUUGUCUAACAAUCGACCGACGGCUGUUUUUCCUGACUGUUUUACAAAUUUUUUAUUAUAAUUUCUAUUUGGCGAUUAUCUUAUAAUUUCAAUUACAAGUUGAUUAAAUAUCUGAAUUUUUGUUGUUGUAAUUGAUUUAAAAAUUCUAUAUCAUUAUGCAGAUAUGAUAAUCCUGAUUUGUUAUUUGGAUGAUUUCGAAUUGAAUGAAAAUAAUAGAUGGGAAUGGAGAUGGACGAGUGAUGUAUGUGGUUGUAUUGCAAUUCCCGUAACAGAGAGUAUAUCAUAUGCGAAAGUGUACCAGGAUUUACAAAAUAAGCUGAAUGUCGAUUUUUCUUAGUACGAUAUGCAACUGAGAUAUUUAUUCAAUGAUUAUGGGGAUUCGUCCAUUCCGAUGCCACCUAUAUUUGUUACUUAUGAUGCUGAAUUGAAUUAUCUAUUAGAAUUGAACAAAAUGCAUAGGACUCCAACUGUUCUUGGUGUGACUUUAGUUAAGAAGGAUGUUGUCGAAGGUGAACGUGAAGAUUUAGAUGGAGCGGAUAAUAAUGACUGAGAUUUUUGAGAGACAGUGGAGAUGGUCCUGCAGAUGAUGUGGUUAUUCCCGAGACAGUUGCUACUGAUUGUGAAGUCACUGUUACGCACAAAAUUCCGUCAACGGCUGAGGACAACAAAAAUAUAAAUGAUUUUACAAAUGAAAAUUUAAUUGCUUUAUCCUGACAGAGAUCUGAGCGGGUGGGAGCUCAGGGGGUGGAACAAGUGGACCGUCCUCCAAUUUUUCGUGUGUGGCUCCCGAUGAUGAGAAUUUGUAUGUCAAGCAACUAUUUGAAAUCAAGAAUGAUUUGUAGGAAGCUAUGCACCGGAUAGCAUUAAAAUAUAACUUUGAGUUCAAGGUAAAGAAAUCAACCAAGUCAUUGUUGACAGUUGCCUGCGUUGACGACAAUUGCAAUUGGCGCUUGAGAGUGACUAAAAUGGACACGAAUGAGUGCUUUGUAGUUCGUAAAUAUGCACGGAAACAUACUUGUGAAGUGGGAAUUUGUCGAAAUGAUCACAGGCAAGCUCGAGCAUGGUUUAAUGGUCGACAGAUAAUGCACAAAUAUCAGAAUCCACGGACGAUUUAUAGACCUUCGGAUAUCAUUAACGACAUCCGUUGAGAGUAUGGAGUGGUCAUGAGCUACCAGAAAAUCUGGAAGGCCAAAAAAUGUGCGUUGGAGGAUUAAAUGAGAUCGGCUGAGGAGAGCUAUACUAAAUUGGCCAGGUAUUGCCAUAACAUGGGGACAAUUAAUUCUGGCACGGCAUUUUUUAUUGAGAUGGGGGGCGAUAAUUGUUUUAAGUAUUUCUUCAUGGCUCUCGGACAAUGUAUUUGGGGUUUUUGAAAUGCAAUGAGAUCCGUAAUUCUAGUUGAUGGUACAACUCUGAAAGAUAAAUAUCAAGGCAAAUUAAUUAUUGUUACAUGUCAAGACGCCAACAUCCAAAUUUACCAUAUUGCAUUCGACAUAGUCGACAUCGAGAAUGAUCUGUCCAUGCGUUGGCUCUUUUCUAAACUGAGGAAAGUCAUCGGGGAAGUCGAAAACCUUGCCUUUGUAACCGAUUGGGGACAAUCUAUAAUAAACAGUAUCGCUGAAGUUUUUCCCUAGGCACAUCACGGGUAUUGCAUGUACCAUAUACAAGGUAAUUUGAAGACUAGGUAUCAGGGCAAAGGCAUCAUUUCAUUGUUCAGAAGAGCAGUCAAAGCUUACAGUGCUGAAAAAUGUAAUAAGUUCAUGUUCGGAUAGGAAGUAAAUCAUUACCGGCGUUGGAGUAUCUGACGAACAUGGAGAUCGAACAUUGGGCGCGGUCAUACUUUUCAGGACAUCAAUACAACAUGAUGACGUCGAAUAAUGCGGAGUCUCUCAAUGCAUUGUUUAAGAAGGAUCGAGAGUUACCAAUUCUCGCAAUGAUUGAGAACAUUUGUAACAAGCUGCAACAUCGAUUUCAUGACCGAUGUGCGGCAUCACAGAGUUGCACUAGCGUAUUGGCCCCAGCUCAAGAGGAGAAACUCUUUAAGGCGGCAGAUGUUGGAAGGAAGUUGAAUGUGGAAGCACUAGAUGAGUUCUACUUCUCAGUGCAAUGUGCACGUAAUACGACAUAUAUGGUGGACUUGACUUGUAACACAUGCACUUGUACGAGAUUUCAGUUGGAGAGUUUUCAAUGUGAGCAUGUAGUUGCGAUGGCCAUGUAUCGAGACUUUGCUGUGAGAACGUUAUGCUCUUUGUAUUAUACGACUGAGUCUUGGAGAAUAGCAUAUGCUGAUACUAUAUUUCCUCUGCCGAAUGAAGCCGAGUGGGAAGUUCCCGAGCACAUUCUCCCGUUUCAUAAUUUGUUGUCACCAACAGUUGAACCGCGUGGUCCUGGACGUCCAAGUACAUCUAGAAUACCAUCUACCAGAGAGUUUUCUCGACCGCGUAGGUGUGGCAGAUGCAGAGCCAUAGGGCAUACUCAACAAUUUUGUACCAAUCAAAUUCUCCUAAAUGACAAUUAGACAGGUACGUUAAAUGAAUAAUAUUUCUGUCUACUUUACACUGUUCAAUAUUUGUUUUUCAUAAAUGUUCAAUGUUUAGUAUUUAUUCUUGAUAAAUGGUAUUUAUAAUGAUUCAUAUAAAAAAAAUAGUUCCAUACUCGGCAUAUGUGUAAAAUAACAAACAAUCAACUUACAAAAGAAUAAUUAAAUUUCCAAUGUGAAUGUUAUAUAUAUUAAACACAAAUUUACAAUUAUUUCAUAAUCACAAAAAAUAAUUAAAUGUACAAUUUGAAUGUUACAUAUAUUUAAUACAAAUUUAUGGGUCACCAUUAAAUUCGAACAAAUCACAAGCUAGCUUUUUCUCCAGUUCUGUAUCCACUAUUGGUUGAUUCCAUCAACAUUAUGUCCUAUACUUAAAAAAUUCAACGUACUUAAUAACAAAUAUGCCGCAGUCACCGUUGCAAUUGAAUAAGAAUGGAUCAGUUCAGUAUUGUGUAACUAAAAACUAAAUCUGAAAGAUGAAAACAAUAAAGUUCAAAUACUUACCUUAUGGACUGUCGCGCUGUUGUCGUGUUCCGAACAAUCUGCAAUCUGUCCUGUACAGUUAUCCCCACUCGUAUGGCCAUUAUUGGAACAAUUACAGCUACGGACUCCAGGUUUUGCUCCAGCUGGCCUUGUGUCAAACAUGAAUGAUUUGGCUCGUAGACAUAUAUAGUCAUGUCAGCAAAAAUGAUCUCCAGCGUAACAUAGUGAUUAUUGAUGCAUGCUGGAAUGUACAUAUGUGUACAACCCUCUCAUGAUUUUCCCCCAACAUUCAGCGACAUUCCUAUGACCCACUCGAGCAUAUAUUCUAGCACUGUGUACUCGUUAUCCAUAAGUUGGAGCAACUGAUACUCUAUGGUAAUGGCACGCAAGAACUCAGUGUUUAAUAUGACUCGAUCAUGGACGUCAAAUGAUUCUAGAUGUCUUUGAGCUCGAUCUCGCUUCAAGUCCAUGGCCAAGUCGAUGUACUGCAUCAGGAAACACCAAAAAAGUAUUAGUUAUUCAUUUAAUAAACACAAAGUGACGUAUACAUAAAAAACACGAAAUGAAUAGUUUACUUACAUCGUCGGUGAGUCAAGCUCCUGAAGUGAUGACAUCAUGGAACCACUUGUAAGCAUUCGAGACCAUCGUUUGACCUAUCGUGCGGCUAACUCUGAAAAAAUAGGGAAAUGUUAAAAUAUGCAUAGACGAGUUAGCGUAUAGUGCUUUGUUAAAAUCAUACAAUACUUACCCGGAGACAAUUCUCCUCCACUCCAUCUCGAACGCUUUCCACUUGACGUUGUCCACCUCUCUGAAUAAGUUUGGAUGCAUCCCAUCAAUGAACGUCCUCCUCUUGGCCUCAGCCGUGAAGGGAAAAACAACAUACUGUGAUGACACUCUCAACCUCUUGCCGACUACCUGCUCCAUUUCUUCAGCAGCAUGUCUAUUACCCUCAAUCACGAUGGGCGUCCUCUUGACCUCCGGGGCCACCUCCUCCGUCCCUCCCAUCGGGGCCAUCCCCUUCGUCGUCCCCUCUCCUAUCCUUGUCGAGGCUACCCCUUCUCCCUCCAUAGAUAACCACAAUGAUUCUAAUGUCUCAUCACGCCAAAAAUGUGGGUGACCCCCUCUCCAUCACCAUCUCUGCCACCCUCUCGAUCAUCAUCUCCACCAUCCCCUCUGUCCCCCCAUCGCCUACCGGCUAAAUCUCCUCUAAGUGCUGCUACCGUAUCCUGAAGAUCGACAACGCAAGACCGUAACAUUCCAACAUCAUGGGAUAGAUCGUCAACCCUCUCUGUCAACUCUCGUCCCAUAUCAUCGACCCUCCCUAUCAGAUAGUCGACCUUCCCAGUCAGAUCGUCGACCCUACUUGUCAACUCUCGUCCCAGAUCAUUGACCCUCUCCGUCAACUCUCGUCGUAGCGCGCCGACCUCCUCCACUAUAAAUCCAGUCAAACGAGCAUACAAAUCAUCACUGUGUGUCAGAGAUACACGGGGGAGGUGUCUGGAUGAGGGAGAAGGAGAUACCCUCUGUGGUGGCAAUGCCAAUGGCGGCGACGAUGCCCUUGAUGGAGGUGAUGCCAAUGGCGACGGUGAUACUCUCGGUGGAGGUGAUUGUCGAUCAACUGGACUGCCCUCCUACAUAAAUAACAUUAAAAAUUAUUCAAUAAAUUUAUACGUCGACGAUAUUCAAUAAAUAAUAUUUAAUUCAUAUACCCAAUCUUGGUCCAGGCUCGGAUUAGACAUCUCCUCGUCUUGGGUCUGCGGAACACCUAAAUCUCGCAUAAGACCCCGAGCCUCCUCUUCCAUCGACGACGUCAACUCAAGUAUGACUUCAAGCUGACAUAUUGACAUUUCAACUAAUUAACGAUCAUGUAAAUAUAUUUUAAACUACGUAUAAUAUAAAUCAUAAAUGCAUAAUACUUACCUGAGGAUCGUCGAGGAGAGCCGAUAAUUGUUUCCCAGUGGGACAUCCGUCCGCUCGCAAUGAUCUCCAAUGAUGCAUCUGAGGGCAUCGUGUCUCCCCUCGCUUCGCGAAGCGGGCCCCCAGUACAGAGACUAUCUCAUACACCAAAAUCUGCAACACAUACACUUAUUAUGCGUAAAUAUAAUAUACUAAAACUUUAACUUUUAAUUAUAUUAAAUAUUUAUCUGCACCGCUAAGGGCAAUCCAUAUGUAUCGUAUUUACACAUUGACCCCCUAGGCCUCGAGUGUGAUUUGGUGAAAACAUGUACGGUGUAUUUGCAGCAUCUCCGACCCCAUGGAUAGUUGUCGAACGCAUCGAUGUCGUCAACAACUUGCAAAUGAAAAAUGUCAAUGGCAAUCUUCUUGUGAUGACACCUCAUCAUACUCUCGAGGAUGUUGACCAGCCCAAGUCUCAAUCUAUCUAGCAUCUGGUCGCACCCCCCGAUCGCGACCAUCAAUUCAGGUAGAUGCACCGACCUAUGUCCUUGGAAGUACGUCUUGUACAACAUAUUUCUUCUCUCAAUGGCUGCAUCGUCGCCGGUAAUCCUCAAUCCAGUGAUCAAGCUAAACUCAUACAUCGAGAAACUGACAACCUUGCCCCCGAGGUCGAAGUGGAAGGAAUCGCCAUCGACUGGCUUCAGAAGCCAACAUAGAAGUGCAUCGAUGAUCUGUCCUGAGUACUGCACCUCUCUCAUCUGGUACAAUGGCCACAAGAAGGACUGUCAUAGCAUAUCUCCGUGAUGAUCAUCGAGCAGCUCCAACACAGCAGUAAAACUCUCAAAGCUACUAUUCCAAGUAGCUUCCCCCACCAUCCGUCUCAACUCCCCAUCUAAAUGAUACUCCAUCCUGCAAAAAUUCAAAUAUUAGAACAUUGAACAAGAGGUAAUAAAAUAACGCAUAAUCUCAAAAAAUCAAUGGGAAAAGAAUUCUUGACGCUAAUAACAAAAUAAAUUCAAUACAAAUGUAAAAAAUAAUUAAUUAAAUUAAAAUACAAAUUAAUGAGAUUUUCAGCAAAAGAAAAUUAUUAAUAUUUAAAAAAUACAAAAAAGUUAAAAAUUAAAGAUUAAAUAUAUUUUCAAAAAAAAUUAAAGAAUAUAAAUAUUAUUUAAAUAAAUUUUAAAAAAUUAAAGAAUAUAAAAAUUAAAUAAAUAAAUAACAUAAUUAUUAUUUAAUCAAAUAAAAAUUAUAAAGAAAAUUAAUGUUGUAUAUUACAUUUAGAAAAUAUAUUUACAAAAAAAUUUAAAAUUAAAUAAAUAACAUGGACAAUAAAUUGUUACUUUCAGAUAAUAUUCAAUUAUUAAAUUAUAUAAAUAAAAAAUAAUUAAAAAAAUAAAUAACAUAAUUAUUAAUAAAUUAAUUAAAAAAUAUAUUCAAAAAAUUAAAAAAACUAAAUAUAUAUAUAUAUAUUUUUUAAAAUAAAACUGUUAACAGUCUGAUUGUUAACAGUCGGCCCAAGACUGUUAACAGUUAACAGUCGGCCCAAUUAAUAAAAAUAAAUAUAAAAUCUAAAAAUUAAAUAAUUAUUCAAAAUUACAAUGAUAAGAAUUAAUGAAAUUCGAUUAACGAAAAGAAUAUUAUUUAUAAAAAAUUAUUAAUAAAAAUGAAAAUGAAAUUUAAAAUUAAAUAAUUAUUCAAAAUUACAAUGAAAAGAAUUAAUGAAAUGCGAUUAACAAAAAGAAUAUUAUUUAUAAAAAAAACUAUUAAUAAAACUAAAUAUGAAAUUUAAAUUUAAAAUUAAAAGAAUUAUUAAAUAUUAAAAUUAUAAAAAUUAAUUAAAUUCGAGAAUGAAAAUUAUUAUUUAUCAAAAAUGAGGAAAUAAAAAUAAAUAUUCAAAUUAGAAUUAAAAUUAAAUAUUACAUUUAAAUUUUACAAAUAAAUAAAUUAUUAUUUAUUAAAAAAUAAUAAUUAAAAUUAUUUAAAAUGAAAUUCUUAAAUAUAUGUAACUAAAAAAUAAUAAAAAAAUAAAGACAGUGAGCCGAUCGUAACAAUCGGACUGCUUAACAGUCAAUGGGCUGACUGUUUAUAAUGGGCCGAUUGUUAAUCAGCUUAAAUUAAAAAAAAUUGUUAUUGGGCCGACUAUAACAGUCGGCCCACUUAACAGUCAUGGGCUGAUUGUUAGUCAGUCCAUGACAAUUGGGCCAACCGGUUGUUAACAGUCGGGCACCCGACUGUUAACAGCCGAGUUUUCCCCAAAAUGCCGGCUGUAAACGCAGUCGGCAUUUUUUCCGACUUUUCUCGUCGGAAAAUCUCUAUUUUCGACGAGAAAAGCUUGCAAAUCUCGAAAUCCACAUAUUAUUCUCCAAUUUAGACCUAUAUUCAUACUUCUAUACCUACAUAAUCAAUAUUACAUUUCAAAAACCUCCACAAAUUCAACAUUCACACACAAUAUGAAAAUCUAAACAUUAAUAUGGUUAAUUAACAACUCGAAACUCACCUUAACAAGAAGAAGGUCUUCGAAGAUGAAUUGAAAACGUCUACCGAGUAGCUUUUCCCUGGUUUUAGUCGAGUGUAAGCAAAUGGGAAAGUGACCGUCUGAGGGUAUUUUGGGAUUUUGACCUUUAAAAUCAAUUUUUGUUUUUUUCUCUAAAAACUGGUCAAAGGAUACUUUGGAACUACACAUGAGUUAUUGGGUCAUUUUCAAUGAUUUCCUCCCCUUUCCUCGUGUUUUCAAAUUUCUACUUCCGAUUUGUACCCUUUUUUUUUUCUAAUUGACAAAUUAAUUAUAAGUACGUUUAUAGAUAGUAUAUAGAAUAAUUUAAUUUAUAAUUUCUGAUUAGUUAAAAUUUGUAUAUUUUAUUCGAAAGAAUCAUUCAAUUAACUUUAAUAUAUUUUUCCUAUUAAAAUUGUCUAAUUUUAGUUCGAAAAAUUUUAAUAUAGUUUCAGUAUAUUAUUUUCAUAUUACCAAUAGAAUUUUAUCAUUAAAAUUUUUUAAUUUAUUUUUUAGGAUUUUGAUUAUUUUGUAAAUCAAAAUUUUAAAAUAAUCUUUAAUUAAUAGUUAGGAUUGAUUGAAAUUAAACGUAUGCUGAAUUUUUAUUUUUAGUUUUGUUCUUUUUUACAACAAGCAAAAAAUAUUGCAAAUCCUUGUUGCAAAACACACUUGCUCGCAACAUUUAAUGAUUGUUGCAAAAGGUUAUAUAGUAAGAAUUUCAACAAUAUGUACUGAACAUUGUUAUUGAACAAAAUUUUAACAAGUUCAAAAAAAAAAAAAAGAAUUAAAACUUUUACAACGUUCAAAGAACGUUACAAAAAGCUAUAUAUUAAGAGUUCAACAACGGUUAUUGAAUGUUGUUAUAGAACUAUAUUUUUACAACAUUCAUUAAAUGUUGUGAAAAAUCAAACUUCUUACAACUUUCAAGAAACAUUGAAAAUGGUAAUAUUGACAACGUGCAAUUAAAAAAAAUAUUGCCAAAGCUUAAUUAAAUUAAUCAAUGGCAAUAUUCACUUAUUAAAAUGUUGCGAUAAACCCAUUUAGCAACAUUCAAUUCACGAGUGUUGCCUUUUGAGUAUUGCAAAAGGCUAUUUUAAUUGUAGUUAAAACUUGAGCCAUGUAUUCAUAGGGAAGGAUUAGGGAUAUAAUAAUAAUAAUUUCUAGAGUUACAGGAGUACAAUUAUCAUUGACGAAUAAACUUACCAUUUACAACAAAAUGGUCUUUUUUUUAUUUUUAUUUUUCUUCAAUGUGCUCCUAAAAAGGUUUUUAUUGAUAGCAAGAAGGUAAGUCGGACGUUCUCUUUUUUAAAUUUUAAGAGGCGGUAAGGACAUUUUGAUCUUCAUUUUUCGUCCCAUUUAUUUAUUUAUUUAUUUACUUAUUUAUGUAUUAUUAUGUGUUUAAAUUUAAAUUAUAUUCAAAAAAAUUUAAAAAAAAAUAUUAUGAGUCAUGGAUGGGUCUGUGACAGAGAUCAUGUUUCCCAAGCCCAUCCCUAAUAGGGAUUAUAGAAUCCUUGACCUUCAAUCCACAUCGCGCCCCAUCCCACAUUGUCCUACCUUGAAUAGUAAAUGGGGCAGGAUGCAUAACCUAUAGUCCCUAGUUUCGAAUUUUUAGUACUAGCUCUGAAUCAUUUUUCAUUAAUAUACUUUAUUCUAUUCUUAUGUUCUUCAUUUAAAUCAUAUUAAAAAAUAAAUAAAUAAAUAAAUAAAAUGAUGAAUGAUGGUUUUUUAUGUCUCAACCUACCCUACAUUCUGAAAAUUCGAAACGAAGCAAGAAUGAUAUGAUGGCUCCUAUCCAUUGUUAUCCUUAAUUUCAAAUUUCCCGUUGGGCGGAGUAACUUGAGACUGGCGUUUUGUUAAAGAUUUCCUCAAAUAAUUUAGCAGAAAAUAAAAACAAAGAAAAAUAAAUCCACUUUAAAAUAGGGUCAUCUCUAAAAGAUAAAUGUAUUCUCCAUUGAUUCCCAUUUUUCAGUUGAAACUCAUCUCUGUAGGAAGGCUAUGAUCCAAUCCAACCUUGAAAUUUCUCAAAUUAUAUUAAAAAAAAAAAAUAUCACCGUACCUUAACUCUACAAAUAAAGUGGAGUAUUGCCUAAAUAUCCAUGGCAGCAGCUACGCAGAGGCAACACUGAUGGUUCACAGAUGGUGCAACCACAAAGGGUCUUGACAUUAUAGACCAAAAAAAAAUUAUUUGUAUAAUAAUUUUAAAAAUUUAAUUUUUUUUAUUAAAGGGACCAUGUUUUAAAAUAUCACACGGGACACCCAAAAUAUUAAGGUCAACCCUACAUCUAAGUACUGCUAUGCAACUUCUCCAUUUCCUAGGUAUCAAAAAAUCUUCACCUCUACAACCAAGUACUAUGUUAAUUGCUGAAGAUUAUAUUUAAUAACAAACAUAAUGGAAUAAAUUUCUAUGACGUACUUAGAUGAAAAUUAAUUCAAUACAGCCUGGCGCUCAAGUCGGACGAUGAAGUAUAUUGGGUGUGGAAGAGAUACAAUAGAUAAAGAUAUAGACGCAGUUUACCAAAACUUGCCUUCGAAGGAAAGGGUCGAGUAUUUAUAGGUGGAAGAAGCUCUAUCUGAAUGCUUGACACGUGACUUUAUUUUAAUACCUCAUUUGUAGCCAUCAUAGAUAUGUGUUUCCAUAGUCAGAUUAUAAGUUAAAAACUAAGUAUCGUUGUUGCGGAGUUGUUACAUCAAUUACUUUGUAUGGUGUACUUUGCGCAACUUUGUCAAAGUGAGGCUUGUAGCAGAUGUUCAUCGCCCUAGAUAUGUACUGCAGCGGAGAGGUAAUGCAUCGCCUCGAGUAACAAUAACAUUCUAAACAAUGCAUCUAAAAGUAUCUCCUAAUCGUAUCGAAAAAGGCAUCAAGAAAAGACGAUGAGAAUUUGAGUGUUUCCCUUGUAUGGUCUCUUCUUAUUUGGCUGUCACGUGGCCCACAUAGUAGAUAAAUAUGUAACAAUAUCACUUUUAACACAAUCUAUUCUCAAACAAUGGAUCUUAAAUAGGGUUGCCAGUUUUAUGUUAUUGAAAUUUUUUCAAAAGCUUUGUUGAAAAUUAAUUUUUUUCUUUUUUUUAUUUUUAGGAGAGUUAGGGGCUAGAGAAUAAAUGUAUGUAAAACAAAGUUGUCAGAAUCAAAUGCUAAGAGAGCAAAUCUCUUUGAAAGAAAGAAGGAAAGGAUAAAUGGUGAUGAUGGAAAUGGAAGCAAGAAUAUUCAUAAUAUAUGUGAAUUUCUUGGUCAUCCAUGCGGGAUUGAAGCUAUCUUGAACACACGACCUUUGUGAAGUUAUCAAUCCCUCAAUUCCAUUGUUUACUGGUGCAAAUUCAUUUUUUUCUGUGUUACAAAUUUUCCUUCUUGUUAAAGUCACAUCGUCCAAUAACAUUAGCUUAUAGGGAUAGGACAAAUUUAUUUAUGGAAUUUAUGAAGAUCCUUGAGUAGCUUGGAUUCAUUUUUCAAUUUCUAAGAUGUGCAUAAUUUUGCUCAUCAAACCACAACAUCUAAAAAGCUUAAGCUAGCAAUUAGAACACAAUUUUAUUUAUUUAUUUAAAUCCUCUUCAACGUCUUAGACAUGAAAUGUGAUUCCAACAACAAAUAUGCACACCCCCAAUUUAUUAAAUGAUAAACUACGAAAUUGUAUUUUUAGAGGCAAUUGGUAUGCAAGAGUGGUUAACUAAUGGAUUUGUAAUUUCGACAUCUGAGUUCUGCAAGGCCAAUACAAACCGAUGAUAGAACAUUUAUUUUUGUCUGCAUUAAGCAUCACAGGCUCAAUUACCUAGAAUUGCAUCAACUUUACACCUGUUAGAAUGUGGAAGCGGAAUUGUCCGUAAAUUAAACAAAAUUUUUUAAUUCAAUAAAACAAUAUCGUUUAUGUAACAUCCCAAAAAAUUUUUAGGGAAAAAAAUUAUUAGCUCAUCUAUAGAGAUAAGGUGGUGGAUAUGUGAUAGUAAUUUAUUGUUAUUUAAUCACAUUUUGAUUAUGGUUAAUGUAAAUUGAUAAUCAUAAUCCUAUUUUGAUAUAAUUCAACUCCGCAUAUUGUUGCUAAAUUAAAUUAAAAUAUUAGUCUUCACGUUUUAUUUUAACCGCAUUGCAUGAGUGGAUAAGGUGAUUGGGAUACUUCUAAUUAAGCAAAAUCCCAAUUAAACUAAUCCAGAACUUAUCAUAUGAAUUAGAUAACUUUCCCAUCUCCUGCUUGGCCCUGCAUUUAAAGAUUUAUUGGUUUUAAAAAUUAUUUUCACCAACUAGAGAUUUUACGGAGAUGAGAUAAAAUUUUAUGAAGUUAUUUUUAUCCUAUAUUUUGAUAAAGAUUUAAAUGUAAUCUUAUUUGUGGAAUAUUCAAGUACUAUUGUACAUGUGUCAUAUCAUGGUUUGGACUAUCAAAAUUUAAAGUUUAUCCAAGUGGUGCAUGUUUUCCCCACCAUCAAAAUUGUACCAUGACUCAACUACCAUUUGUUUACUAUAAAUAAUGUGCAUUUGUCCCCUAGAUCCCCACCAAGAAAUUUUUACACGGCAGAAAAUAGAGAGAGAGAAAAUAAUUUCGAAGAGUCAGUUACCAAAUUUUUGACGCAAUCGAGGAAGUAGAACAGAUAUUGGAAUUCAUUCAAAAAUUCAUUUUUUUAGGUAUGACACUUUAUGUACAAGUGCUAUUAUUUCUUUAUGCUUUUAUAUUCAAUUAUAUAUGAAUGGAUUGUAGUAGACAUUCAUUUUUUUUAAAGAGAUAUGAAAUCCCACGGGAUUAGAAGAGAACCUAAGAUGUGUGUCAUUUGAUCACCGAUAUACUCCAUAAGAUCAGAGUAGUAUGAAAUGUAUAAUUUUUAUUGUUAUAUAUUUGUAUACGAAAACUGCACGUAUUUUACUUAGUGUUUUCGAAUACUCAUUCUUACAAAUUUUUACAGGUUAGUUCUGGUCGAUUGAAGUUGUGUCAAAUUAGUGACGCGGACGGCCAAGUGAAUCGAAGAAAAGAGAAAGAAAUUAAAUAUUUAGUUUGCUUUUUUUUUUUGUCUUUAAAUUAGUUGUUAGUUUUAUUUCUUCAAAGACUUUUUUGGUUAUUUUAAAUUAAUAUUUAUGAUUAAAAUAAAGAAUUUCUUUUUAUGGAAGUUUGGGCCAUUACAGUUUAGAGGUUCACGUAUAUGUUAAAUCAAGGAUAAAGAAUUCGAAUUUUUACCUAAAUUGAUGAUUAAUUAUUUAAUUAAUUCAAAUCACGAACUUCCACCUUUUUGGAUCAUAAACUUCUAGCUUUUGAUUGCAACAACUUGAUGCAUCAAAUCUCUAAAUCCUCUAUUGUAUUCUCCAAAGUCAAGACAAAAACUAAUUUUUACACUGACAAUUGAAUAAAAGCAAGAAAAAUAAUAUUUUCUCUCUUUUUUCCUCUCUCCAAUUUGAACACUAUGGAUUUAUGUACUAUGAUUUUGUAGAAAUUCUAGGUUCCACAUAGUCUCUAUUUAUAGUAAAAUCUAAGUAGGAGUUUUACUUGAAAUCCAAAUCCAAUUAGUUCACAUAUAAUUACAUGUGUAAUCCUAAAAUUUCAAUUACAAUUAUAAUUAAGUUUACAAAUUUCAUAAUAAUUAUAACUAAGUUCAAAAAUUUAUUGUAAUUACAAUUAAGCUCAAAAUUAUUAUAAUUACUAUGAUUAAGUUCCAAUAAUUUAUGGAGCUAACAUAAGGACUUGAUAUAACAUGUAUUAUCCAAACUCCAAUAAUUAGAUUUGCCUAGUCGACUCUAAAUCACCCAAUCUAAUUAUUAGUCUUUGCUUUUUUCACCAAAGACAGAUGACUGAACUCUUGGAAUAUAUAAGAUCACAGAAACCAAUAAAUUUGUAAUGCUUUCUUCUUACCUGUUGUAUAUGUAUUUUAUCCUCGUCCGAGAUCUGAUAAUUAGGUACGAGCAUAAAUAACUGUUUUGCCCUUCUAAUUAUUACCACUAACUUAAGUAUCAUUUUCUUCAACGGUCUUGUAAACUAAUCACAGAUGUUGAAGUUUAACCAUCACUAAACACUUAGCUCAGAUUUUAAACAUUCAACAGAAAAUAAUUAAGUAAUCACUCUACCCAUUUUUCAAGGUGACGAUUAUCGACACGAAUUCAUGUUUUCUACUUAGAAAAAUGAAAUAAAAACUCAUUUAAAAAAUAAACAUUUUAAAAAUAAAAUAGAAAGUUAUUUAAAAAAAAAGUUACCCAGAAAAAUAAUAUAAAUUAAAAAGUUCCUUUAAAAAUAAUAAAAAAAUAUUUUUUUUAAAAAAAGGUUACUUAGAAAAAUAAAAUAAAAUAAUUAUUUUAAAAUUAAAAAAAUUAUUUUAUUAAAAUUUAUUUUAUAUAUUUAAGACAAAGUUACCAUUUUACCCACUUUUAAAUUUGUAAAAACGUUAAAAAGAAAUUGGGUUGCCAUGGUGAAAUGUUAUACGAAAUUAGGUGGCCAUAAUUGAAUAUUGUAUGGAAUUGGGUGACCAUAGUGAAAAAAAUAAAGUUGGGUUACCAUGAUGACAUUAAGCAUAAAGUUAAGUGGUCAUGAUAACACUAAUUAUAAAUUUGGAUUGCCAUUGAUGGAUCUAAUCCAAGCCUAUAUCAUUAUGGACGGUUUAAUAACUGGGAGAUUCAAGUUUAGAAGUUUUACAUGAUUACAUUGGAUAUGCCUCUAACUUUCAUAAUUAGAAUAUUAUGCUUGAAUUUUUAAAAGAUUUAUUCAACUUUAGGGUUUCAUUGUAUUGUUCAAAGUAGUCGCUUAAAUACUUCUCUCUUGUACUCAUAUUUGAUAUGGUAAAAAUUAUUUUCUUACAUUUUUGUGAAUUACAAGUACUUGACAGUUCAAAUGAAGUAAACCUAAUUUUAUUUGUGGGUCAUUUGGCAUUCAAAUAUUUUAACUAUUUUACUUGUGGACUAAAUAUGUAUAUUGAACUAGAGGAAAAGUCAAUAUGAAUAUAUGGAGACCAAGAUCAAUCUAUCCUAGGAAAUCAGGACUUAUAUUAAUUAUUAAGAUAUUUUUCCCAAAAUUAAUGUUGCUAGAUUGAGUUUUAACCAUAUAGGGACUUAAUUUCCCAAUAAAUUACACACACCUACAUUGAAAUUUGCAUGUUUGGAACUUUGAGCAUGCUAUGUGCGUGUAUGAUAAUUGACAAAUAAUGAUUGAACAGGUAAUCACACUCCCAUAAUUUCCUGAAACUAACUCAAAUCUCCACGCAUUAAAGAUUGAGUCAAUAUGUUAAAUAUUGUAAAUAGAUAUAAUUAAAUAAUUAAAUUCACAUAUUCGGCACUAAUUUUAAUAUUUAGAUAAAGUGAUCAUUUGACAUCAUACUAGUGUUACCAGAGCACGUGUGAACCAUAAUAUUAAACACAUCUGAUUUGUUUACUGUACAAUGUAAAUGGAUAUAAAGACUUCAAGGGGCAUCGCAUAACAUAUUCAAAGUCUCCAAAUAAAUAAAGUCGUCAUGUCCUCAACUCAUAAAGUUAAUACCUUUAAGGUAACUGCCAAAGAAAUGCAUUAAAAUUGACACCCCCACUAUCUAUAUAUACCAUUUGACACUUGCCUUAACGAUUAAAAAUAUUCUGAUCAUCAUUUACUAAAACUCAUAAAUAAGUUUGUGAGUUUCAAAAUUUAUUUUCAAUCAUAUAUUUCAUGGAAUUCACAACUUUUUAUCUUCUUUUCAAUCAAGCCCGACCAAAGCCACUUAGGCAACGGCCCAAGGCCUUAGAUAUUUGAGGGACCUCAAAAAUAAACCAUUUAUUCUCUGGUUCUUGCAGAAAGUGGAAAUAUAUCUUGUUAUUGCACAAUGCAUAUUAUUGCAUGACAGGAAUGUUUAUGAUUUGCCAAAGAAAUGAAGGUACUUUCCUCGGUUUCCUCCUGCUUUAUUUCCCCUAGUCAUUCGUUUACCAAUAUGGGUUGAUUUCCUUUCCUAGAAAAUAUGCUCAUGCAAAUUUCCUAAAUUUGUGGAUUUAAUUGAAACUCAAAAAAGUUUGACUGUAUUUUCUUACCUUCAUUUCAGUCCAUGAGAAUCUUUGUCAAAUCUUUAAUUUGUGGAAUCACACGCAUUGAAAGAACAUUUUAGUCCAACCUAUCUUUUCCAUCCAAUCUCAUCUUUGCAUUGACAUACAUUAUGUGUUUGUUGGAUAAAUACCGAAAAUUAUAAAAGAAAAUAUUAGACAGCAUUAAAGAAUAAACAACAAUCACAAAUUCAUGACAUAUUUAGAAGAUGCUGCCAAAGAAAUCCAUUUUAAGGAGCUUUUAAUCACUUUCAAACAAGCUUUUAGCUCUCAACAUUUUCCAUGAGCUCGAUUUAUAGUACUAAUUAAACAAGAAAAAGACAUUAAAACUUUUUCCAUAGUAAUCUACAUUUUUGUCUAGCACUGAGCAUGGCUCCUAACUAUGAUAGUAAACAUGUGGGCCUUUCCUGCUUAAUAGGAAUCCUCAUCUUUGAGAAUUAUGUUAGUUGUUAUUAUGCCCUCUGAGUAAGUUUCCUCAAGGAUCAAUAGACAAUGUUGACCUCGAAAAAUGGCUCUUCCACGUGGCCAACCGAGAGCUACUCCACGUAUUCCUUCCUGUGCACAAUCAACGAACGGUCAGACGCACGCGGUCGGGACCAACGAGUGUGGUGGCGGCCGUAUACGCUCCGACGGUCAAGUCAGGUUUAAGUGGUCGGAACAGUACCCAGGAGCUAUGCAAAUCAAUGAUAAUGGGGGAGGAGAAAAUAUAUAAGCUUGCUAUGGAGUGCUAUGUAGUCAGAUUUUCCUUACCUUUGCCUCCUGCCAAACCUUGGAUAUUUAUAGGUGGUAUGAGCCGUUGGAUGUGAGACGCGUGUAUACAUCUGACGGUAUGAGGCGUUCGCUCAUAGGCGUCAAUCAGCCUCGUCUAUAGGGAGGGCGGACAGCUUGUCUCUUCUGAGUUGAAUUGACAUAAAGUUGAUAAGUCAUAUUAUCUAGCCUCAUGGAGACGUCAAAUCAAUUAAAAUCUUAGGUACAGGGAAGAUCUUGGUAUAAAUCUCUUUCUGAAAUUGGCGAUGGAUCCUCUAACCGGGGUCCGCUUGGUCUCGGCCUCGGCCUCGGGGGCGAGGUACUUUUGGUUAGGUACUACUAGGUUGCAGGUAUUCCUGACAUCACUUCGGAAGAACUUCGGACGGGGUCUUUAUCAGGUCGGAACAUAUGAUGGUGAGCGUCCGAGGCGUAUCAGAUCGGAGCGUAACAGACAAUAACUAAUUUUGUUAUAUUUUAUUUUAUUUUAUUUUACUCAAACUCAUGUAUUUCAUGUUGAACUGCCUCGUAUAGAAAUUCCUGAAGAUUAAGUGUUGAGAAAAUAAAGCCAAUGGAGAAGAAGAAUAAAAUGCAAAGAAGAGAAGAAUAUAAAUAUAUAUAUCAAUGAAGGCUUGAUCACGAAAUUGAUCUCAUUGUACUCAAACAUUAUUUGCCUCCUUUCCAAUGCUUUUUAAAAAUUUUCGGCAAAUAGUUUGUAGGAACAAGCCUUGAUAAGAAGAACACUAAAAAGCAAAGGUGUAACUUCACAAUGAACAAGUGAAAAAUGGAAGGAUUAUAAUAUAAUUUUUUUCUCAAUUUUUGGAAGUAUAAUUUAGGCAUAAAUUUCAAUGGAAUUCAAUAAAUUUUCUUGCACAUGGAUCACUUAUUUAUAGACCUUGACAAGUUCCCACAAAAUGGUGCAAGAAACAUGUGAAAAGUCACCAAAUUUGAAUGAAAAACGGUCAAAAACUAACCCAACGGUUAGUUUUUAAUAACCAUGCGACCGCAUGGACUAUAGCCAUCACAUGCAGUCGCAUGGUUAUAGCUUCGCUAGCCCUCCCAUUCUCGGGAGGGCCUCAUGAUUAAGCAAAUUUUUUUUUCUUUUCGAUUUUGAUCAACAAAUAAAUUUCCAACAUUAAGUUAUGAGAAAAAAAAGUUAUGUUUAAGGGCGUCGUAUAUAAUAAUACAUGUUUCUUCAAGGAUCAAUACAUAAAAAUAUCAUACCUGAGGGCCUCAUCAUAAUUAUUUGCUAGCCCUGAAAACUUGUCCGCAAUAGUCCCUUUUCUACGAACCACCGUGGUGAGCCUUUCUUCGUCAACGAAUCUAGUUCACAGAUUCGCCUCACUUUCUCCAUCAAUAAGCCUAGUUUGUAGCUUUGCCUCACCGAGCGACUCCAACAAGGUACAUCAACGAGCCUGGAAGUUGUUACUAUGUAGAUGAAUAAGUGGAUCACUAGAUUCUAACAUUUGCUUAGCAACUUAGAACUUUGAGGAUAACAGGAUUCAAGCAGCCCAAUUUCACACCGAACAACUUAUUAAGCAAGAGGAAAUCACUUUCAAUGUGGAUGAGGAAUUUAAUUCAGCAACAUAGGUGGUGUGCUCUAGAUUGCCUGCAAGGAGCCAUGUUUUGAAUUUCUAGAGACCAUCUUGAAACCAAUACUAAUCUCGGCAAGUUUUAAUAAAUAUUUUGGGUUUCCUUCCGACUCCCAUGACUAGUCCCUCCGUUGUGGCACAAUUCUGGUGCCUGUCCCACACUAAGAGUGCCUCAACAGCCGAAGCUAGAGAUGAGGGUGCGCUAGAGCUGCCUCGACAACAGUUGCUAAAGGCUGGAGGCUGGAGGUUGCGGUGUACCCAGAAGCCUCAAAAGUCAUAGUUAGAGGUUGAAUUUUGGUUUAGACAAUUUAUCUAACAUCUGAUGGACAAAGUAGCACUGAGAUUUUAUGAGAACAAACAAAGGCUGCCUCUAAUCCCAUACUCAACACAAUAUCCCAAAUAUGCUCGUUUUAGAAUAUCUGCGUAGUGCGUCCUACGUAGGCAAAAGACAAGGAAGAGACAGUAUUCAUAACCGUGGAGACAUGAGUGGACCCAACGGGGGUCACUUGACCACCCCCAAUUUUUGAGAUUUUUCCCUUUUUUUGAUAAAGUCACGUUCAGUAUCGAUUGAAAUCUAAAUUUUAAUCUAAAUAAAAGUUAAUAAUUAAUUUUAAUAACAUAUUUCACGGAUUCCUUAACUUCUAAAAUUUUAUCCAAAUUUACUAAAAAUCAGACUUUAAUCCUCACCAAACAGGGACAAAAUUACAAUAAAUUUGAAUUUUCUCUCUUUUUAUUGCUCUCGUAUUCUCACGCUCAUGCCUUUUAUCAAAAUCUUAACACUUCUAAUUUUUUAAAAUUUGUUUAUAAUUUCUCUACAAUUAUCAUAUCUAAUACAAAUUUUCAAUUUUCAAUCAAAUUUUCAACUAAUUAAAACAUAAAUUUGCAUUUUCUCCUAUCCUAUUUGUGCAUAUAGCACGUGUUUAAAUUGAUUAUAUAAAAUUUAACUUAUAUCUAACGAAUUGUGUUUAUUUAACUGAUUAUUAGUAUUGAAUAUUGGUUAUUUGUUUUUUCUUUCGACUACUUGAAUUGAUUGUUUGUAUCAAAUAUACAAUUUUUGAAAACAUAAAUAUGCAUUUUUGCGGUGAGCAAAAUAUUAAUAAAAUGAUUGUUCAAAAUCAAAUAGAUGAAAAUGAUGAGCAAAAUAUUAAUGAAAAAUAUUUUUUAAAUGUAAAUCUGCAUUUUUUCGGGUCAAAAAUGAAUCAUUCAAAAAUCAAGAUCAAAAUAUUCGAUUUGUACAAAGUUUGAUUGUACAUUCUAACUCAAUUUCUCUGCGUCCGCCCCUGCAUAAAGAGGUGCCCCUGGUUCAACACGAGGCUUGAAUUGAAUAUCUCCACUAUUUGAGAAGAAUCUAAAGAACUUUCAUACAGCAGGUGACGGGCCAAGGCUCUUACCACCAGUGCAGGAAGAUUCGCAGCCAACAGAAGCUACUACCACUGCACCUGCCUAGAUGGCAUUCAUCGGAUGCUACGGGCGCCUUGGUGGCGGUGAAGCACCGGGGCCAAAUCUUGACCAAUGGGGAUUGAGAUCAAGUGGCACGUAGGCCGCAAUAUCGCUGCAUUUACGAGACAUCGUAGCUGGACUGUUUUAACGACAAUGGCUUGAGGCUUACGCCGUGGAGAUGCAGUCCACGAACCGUUGCUUAGGCUUGAAGACUUUGAAAAUGGGAAAAUGAAAGUGAAAGUUCUAUAUCUUUUGAGUUUUUAUUUUUUUAUUUAAUUUUCCUCAUUCUGGCCAAGGGCUAAAUUUGUAUAUUGAAAAGUAAAGAGGCCAUUUGGACACAUUAUUAAUUUACUGAGUUAGCAGCCAUUCUAUAUUUUAUCAAAUAGCGUAUAACAACGUAUUUUUUCAUUAUAUUUCAAAUAAAUAAAUAAAUAAGUACGAAACAUAUUUUUCCCUCAUUUCAAAGAAUAGAAACAAAAUUUUUUGACGUAAAUUAUCAUCAAGGACGAAAUGUAUUAAUUAAUGAAAAGUCGAAUAUAAGAAUUUGUCGAAAGAAUUGCAAUAAUAAGCAAAAAUUAAGAACCUUAACUGCAAUUAAAAUGUAAUGUAACUAAUAAAAAUUGUAAUACCAAAAUAACCGUCCUAAAAUAAAGCUUGGCAUCCCUUAGUAGAGACAAAAAAAUAAAAAAUAAAAAAACCACCCGAAAGGGUUCUUUCAUCCUAUCUGAAACUUUAAGACAUGUUUUUUUAGCUCGAAUUACAUGGGCUAUAUGCUAAUAUGAAAGAGGCAAAUAAUAGAAAUUUACUACUUUAGAACAUAAUUGUUCUUUCCAAAUACCUAUAUUUAAUUACCGGCAAAGGGCCAAUUGAUAAGCUCCAGAUUUGCAUUUGGCCUAAAUUUGCUGAAUUUGUUCUAUCUCUUGCAAUUCUAAGUCUAGUUAAUCAUCACUGUUUGUUGUUGUUGACAUAAAUAUGGUAAGAACAGAAAUUGUUGGUAGCAGAAGGUGAACACUCAGUGUAAACUUCUCCACGUGCUAGAGAUACAAGCAACACAUAAGGAGAGCAGCAUAAUUAUGGGAUAGAAAUACCAAAAGAUAUCUUGUGGGAAGAACAGUGAGGCCAAGAAACAAACCAAUAGGGAAAUUGAGUAAUUUUUGACUUGAGUGCGUAUGUAACCCAUAUCAACUUGAGGUGUCAAUGAGAUUUCAAUGGAGACAAAGGAGGAGAAAAGGAAAAAGCUAGUGAGAUGCCAAAACUUGAUCCAAAUGAAAUUUCACAGCACUCUCCCUUUCAGAAUGAAAGGGAAAAGGGACAAUAACAUUUUCUUAUGAAAAGGGAAAAAGGAGAAACAGCAUUCUCCCUUUUAGUAUGAAAAGGGAAAAGGGAGAGUAACAUCUAAAGGUAGAAUCAUAGCACUCUCCCUCUUAGGGAUUCUCCUUUUUCAUAUGGUGCCUAGUGGCACCCCUGUUUCAACUAGGCAACCUUAGCCCGAUCCGAAUAAUAUAGCCCUCCUUUUUAGUUAUCCAAUUUGUGCUUCAAUACCGUAUCUGGCUUGACUUUAAUUAAGACUCAUGUUUCUAAGAUUUUCUCGAUCAAUCAUUCGCUAGGAAAGUUAAUUGGCGGACCAAAAUAAACUUAUAUUCUCAUCAUUCUUUAAUAUCUAUGUUUAAAACAACAUUUUAUGGGAAUAAUUUAUUAAUACCUUUGAACAAUAUUUUAUUUUUUCAAAAAAAUCGCAAAUUUUUAUUUUGAAUAUUAUAUUAUUGAUCUCGAAAUAUCGUAAUGUUAAAUAAUAAUAUUCUUUAACAAUAUUCUGUAGUUAUUCUUGGAUAAUUAUGAAUUUAUAAACUUCAAUGUAAAAUAGUGUAUUGAUCCUGAAUUUUAACUAUACUGCAUUUAAAGAAGCAAAAAUUUAUUUAUAUUAAUAUUAAAGAAGAAUAUUGCUUUGAUACUCUAGAAGAGUCAAUAUUGCAUUAUGUGGGAGAAUAAACUUCCUAGAAAUAUGCUCAAUAUCAUUUGAUUGAAUAGUUGACCCAUUCCUUGUUGUUUGAAGAAACCCUCCACUUCAAUACUAUUGAUAAUAAUUUAGUACUAAAUUAGUAAGAAACCUACUAAGUUUCUAAAAUAUUUGUCAUGAUUGAUACUAUAUCGACAUUGGUAUAUUUGAAAUAAACAUUGCAUUGAACAAGAGGUUCAAUUAUUGAAUAUAUUAUUGCUUGACAUUAUUAUUUGGUUCAUCACUUGAUCAAUAAUAAUGCAAAAUUAAGAAUUCAAAUGAAUAUUCAAAAGAACUAUAAAUUCUUCAAUCUAAUGAAUUCCUAAACAAUAAUUUUUCCAUGUGUUACGAAUUGGUCUUGAUCAUCACUAGAUAAAGUUAGAACUAAAUUUCAAUAAUCUUGAAAUUAAAUAGGGCAUGUUGACCAUCUAGUUAUAAUUGUGUGUGAUAGAUAUAUUUACUAGAUGAUUGCAUUGUGUUUGCACCUGAACUUUGCACAUUCUUUUAUUAAGUUUUAAAUUAUUAGCUUAAAUUUUAUAUUAUAUCAUCAAGACAAUGUAUCAUGUCAAUGUUAGUAAAUCUACAUCCAAAUUAAUAUUUUGAUAAAUGUUGAUUGGGAUGACGAUAAAUUGUUUAACACAAUUGAUUGUUAAAUACCUCCAAUUAAUUUCUUAACUGUUAUUGUUAAAAACAAAGUACUUUCCAUUUAUGUUUAGAUAAUGACAUUAUGCACCAAGCCAAUGUCAAAGUUAGAGCCUAAAUUUUCAUUUAUGGUUAGAACCUAAUAGUUUUCAUCUAAUGAUUUUCUAAUGUGCAAUUUAUAUACCAUAGUGCAAUGGGAUAGUUAUUAAAGAAUGAUGAGAAUAUAAAUUUAUUUUGAACCCUUACAAAAUAUUUUAAACUCUAAAGGUUGAUAUUUUAUAACGCAGUUUGCUCACGUCAAUUUAAUUAAAUAAUUCUCUCAAUAUUAAGGGAAGAAAUUGGCAGCUGAAAAUAUUACACAAUGCAUCAUAUUAUGCUGUCUAUAUCCUUGCACUUGAUAAUCUGAAAAAAUAAUUCAAUUGUAAAAUACAUUUCUGGCAUAUAAGAAAUUACUAAAAUCUCAUAUACCAACUAUAGACAUUCAAUGCCGUAUUGUUAUCUUAGAAAGACUAAACUAUUGCAAUGCAUAAAUAAUAUGUUGAAACUUUGUGACAUUUGAUUCUUAAAAAAGUAAAAAAUGAAAGAGAAAAAGAAAAAAAAAAAAAACCAGAAGAAGAAAAGAGGUUGAUCCUAAUUAGGAAGCAUAUAUUCUUGGAGGUUAUAUAGACAUAACUAAUUAUAAAACCUAGAAGAGAUUCAAGUAUUUGAAAUAUUGAAAAAGGACGUCUCUCAUUAAAUUAUGUCAUUAUGAAAAAGAAAUAGAAUUGAAAAGAAAAGAAAAAGUUGUCGACAAUACUUUUGUACAUGAUAUAUCACUUCAUAUUAUGAAUAGCAAAUAUAUCGAAAUAAAUUUGUUGAGCAUAUUGAUUGAAGUAAUGAUUAGCAAAAUUAAGAAUGCAAUCUUAUUAAAACUGAACUUAUUAGGGAAACCAAAAGCAUUUGGACCUAAAGUUCGAGGACCUAAAUGUAUAUACCCAUGCAAAAAGUAAAUAAGAAAAAUGAAGCGUAAUAUGUAAUGCACGACUUUUCAACAUAAUAAAUUUCACCAUGACCAUAAUGAAUGCAAUCACAAGUCAAUAUCGUUAUCAUCACGAUGCAUGAAAUUUGAAAUGUGAUUGGCAUCACUAUUAAUGUUAUCCUUGAAGAAUUUAAGAUGACUGAAACAUAUAAUUCAAGUGAUAUUAUUUUGAGGAGGGAUAAAUGUGUUGUACUUUCUUUUUCUUUUUUUUUUAAAUUAAGAUUUCGUCUCAUUGAAUUUCAUGACGAGAUUUCUAAUGAGACAACUUUUUUAGUAUACUUUAAAGAAAAAUGUACUAUUUUUCCUUUAUUGGAAUUUUUUGCACAAGAUUUUUCUAGUAUGGUUUUAACGUGGCAUAUUCUUUGUGUAAUAGAUGUCUAUAACCCACUAGACAUUUACUCUCAAAAUAAUAUUCUUAUAUGUUACAAAUUGUCGAUAACUCUAGAAGAGAGCAAUAACACAAUCUAAUUUUCAUUGGAUCAUCAUGUUGUCCAAAAUCAAACAAAGAUUGAUAAAAAUCUUCUAUGAAAACAAUAUUACUUGUAUGCUAUAACAAGACAAAAUGAAACGUAUUUUACCAGAAUUGAAAUAUUUAAAACAGUGACGUACAAGACAUAGAUGCUCGAUACAAGAAUUUUUAUUUAUUUAAAUCAAAGGAGUAGAUGUACACUUUUCUUUGUCAAUCAAGUUUUGUCCCAUUGGAUUUUCAUGACACACUAUUAAUGAGGCAGUAUUUUAUUAAUACAUAAUUUGUUAUAAUUAUUUGUACCCUUCUUUCGUUUGUGUUGGUAGUUUUGUCCCACUGAGUUUUUGUCAAAUUAGGUUUUUAAUGAGGAGAAUAUUGCAUACAACUAUGAGAUAAUUAUUGAUGCCGAUUUAGUCUUAUCAAGAUACUUAGAUAAAUCUUAUUUACUUUGUAAGGGUCUAUUUUAUUCAGAUUGUAACGCUCCUUUUAAACCUUAUAAAUAUGUGUCCAUUAUUGCAAUAAACUUACAAACUUAGUCUUGACCCUAUCUAUUCUUUUUUUGUAUCUCUCUCUUUUUCCUUUAGAAUUAUGAAAUUAGUAGAUUUGUUAUCCUUUCAAAUUAUCAAACUAGUAGAUUUGUUAUUAGGUACUUUUAAACUUCAGUUUGUUUUUAAGGUGAUUUAAUAGUAACAUACUGCUUCUUUCUUUAUAAGGUGAUGUUGUUUCCCAACUACCAUAGCAAUGGUUUAUUAUAUUCAAUUCCAUUAUAACGGCAUCUAGCAUAUCUUUAUACUAUGCUUUGUGUUGAAGUCGAGGAUUGGGAAUGAGACCCAUAAUUCUCUCUGUUGGCGUAUUGUCACACGGAUUUUGAUGAGUAAUUUGCUAACGAAGGCAUACUUGCAAGUCCACUCCUGUAACGGAUUUGGUGGUGGUGAAGUUGCAUACUCACUUUAUUCAGUGGUUGUCCAAAACUGCAUUCAAUAUUAUACUCUUAAUUUAACUAGUAUACAACAGAUUUUGCUUCAUCUGCUCCAGCUUGCAUCUGGCAAUGGAUCUUUUUGCCACAGCAUUGCCAAGAAAGCCCUUGAGCCCGACCCAAUGUGAGUGACCAUUGGAGUUGUGCAUAGAAGACGUCACUCGCCUUUCGUAUCAAACCUGUGAUAUGAAAUAAUAUCGGGUGCGACAUAGAGAGUUAAGUAAUUCCCAACCUAUAUUCUCUGUUUCUUGACCAGUAUUUUUCAGCGUACCCUAGGACCAAAAGGACAUUCCAAAAUUAGAUGGAUCAAAACCACCAACCAAAAAACAAAUCUUGAUUCACUUUGUGCCCAUAGAGAUUAAUGAUAAUCUUCAGCAGCAAGAAUACAAAUUGCCAGUAUAUCCAUUACUUCAACGGAAAUUCUUCCUGAAAGAAGAGGAAGAUCGAUUGUCGCAUACCACUAACAACUCACCAUCAUUAUUUAGACGUUCAAUGCCAGGGCAGAGCAUGAAGCAAAAUGGUAAUAACCAUAUACAUAAUGAAGGAAUGAUCCAUGUAAGAAGCCUAUGUACUUAAUAUGCUUCUAGUGUCAGGGUAAAGUAAAAAUAAAAAACUACUAGCGUCUACACCUCAGAAAAGUGUCAUCCUAGUACAACUAACAAUUGAAUAUUCACCAUCCCGAAAGACGUUGAACCGACUAUGCUAAUGAAUUUGCCACUCGCUUAAAUGUCCAUUUACCAGUAUAAUAUAAACAACACUGAAAGUUUAAAUGAGGUACAGGAAUUACCCUGAUGAGCCUGUAUUUUGGCUCGUAUUUCUUUGCACUCUCAACAGAAUCAUAGAUCAAGCCAAAACCAGUGGAAUUGCCUCCACCAAAGUGCGUCCUGAACUUAAAAAACAAAUAUGGCAUUUGGAUCUUUCACUUCAUACAUCCUUGCCAAUUUCUUCUUCAACUCACAGCCUACAAUAAUAGCCAAAGUAGGUAAAACUAAAAGGGACCACGAAUUUGUAUCCAAACCCAAAUUGAAAUUGCCACAAAUUUAAAACAAAGAAUCGAUCACAAAACUUUGCUUUUGGAAACCAUAAACUUAUGGUAACUAAUAAUAAUCAACAAAGAACACCAACAGAUCUAAUUAUUUAUUCAUUUUCCCACAAUGUUUUCAAAAUUAUGCUACGGCUUGUAGAAGCCUGUAUAACUUUCAUAAACCAUAGACUUUACAUUUGCCUUUAAAAAUCAUCAACAAAGAGCAUCAACAAAUAUAUUUAUUUAUUAACAUUCCUUCAAUAAUUCCAUACCAUGUAAUGGCCAAAGGAGAAGCUAGUUUUACUUCUAUAACCCACUGAUUUUACAGUUAACCUUUUCGGAAUCAGACAUGGACCCAGACGAGUACAAAAUAUAAGGACUUCUCGAUUCUCUGACAUAUAUACUUCAUUCCAUAUCUUACGUAAAACAACGAAGGUAGAAAAAAAAAAGAAAAAAAAAAGAAAAAGGGAAAUGACGCAGAAAAAGCAUAAAACUAGCACUUAAAAGGAAUAAUGCGAAUAAGUUGAAUUUUCCAUACAAAAUAGGCUAACCCACCAGUUAAGCGAGUUGCCUUGUAGAACCACAACAACGCCAAAAAUGGACCUCCAAAUGAGUACAUGGAGUCACACAAACUGGCGUCCUCAAUGGGAAAAAUAUUGGAAACCUGUAGAAAUUGAAGCCAACCAAAAGAAAGCAAUCAUGUCAAGGACAAUAUAUGACUUCAAUACAUCACUCCAAUGUACAAUUUCUUUCAUGGUCUGUCGAGACCAAGGGAGAUUGAGAUUGAGUGGCAUGUAGGUCGCAUCGCCGCUGCAACAGGACCUUCAGUGGCGGUGGGAGCACCGGGGCCAAAUCUUGGCCCAGGUUGGUCCGCCAAGACCAAGGGGCACCGAGGCCAGAUCUUGGCCCAGGUGGGUCCUCCGAGACCAAUGGGGGUCGGGAUCGAGUGGCAUGUAGGUCGCAACGCCGCUGCUACCGAGGCCUUGGUGGUGGUGGGAGUACCGAGGCCAGAUCUUGGCCCAGUGUUUCAGUCCAAAACCGAGAUCGGGGGGGAUCGAGAUGGAGUGGCAUGUAGCUCCAUCAUAGCUGGAAUGUUUUAACGACUAUGGCUUGAGGCUUGAUGCAGUCGACUGCACGAUCUCUAGCUAAGGCUGGAAGACUUUGAAAAGGAGAAAAUGGAAUUGAACGUUAUCGAUCCAAACCGGUCUAUAUUUCAUUCUGUAUUUUAAUAAAUAGCGUACAACGAGAUUUUUUUUUAAUCAUAUUUUAAAUAAUAAAUAAUUACGAAAAGUAUUCUCUCCUCGUCUCAAAGCAUAGAACAAAAUAUUUGAAAUAAAUCAUCAUUAAUGAAGAGAUGCACUAAUUAAUGAAAAAUUGAAGAUAAGAAUUUAACUCCAAAAAAAUUAAAAAAAUGAUUGCUAUAACGUAAAGUACAAUUAAAAUGUCGUAUAACGAAUAAAAAUUGUAGUACCAAUAUAAAUUGACAUCCUUUGGUAGAGACAAAAAAUAAAAAAUCUGAAACAUGUUUUUUUGCUCGGAUUAUAUUGGCUAUAUGCUAAUAGAAAUGUAAUACAAAAUAGGUAAAUAACAGAAACUACUUCAAAACAUUAUUGUUCAUUUAAUUAUUGAUUCAAAGCUCUAAAUUUGCAUUUAGCCUAAACUUGCCGAAUUUGCUCCAUCUCCUGCGAUUCUAAGUCUGGUUCCUCGUCAAUAUUUAUUGUUGUAGUCAUAUAUAUGUUAAGAACAGGAAUUGUUGGCAGCAGAAGUUGAACACUCUGCUUAAAACUUCUCCACUUACUAGAGAUACAAGCAGUGCAUAAAGAGAGCAGCAUAAUUACGGGGUAGAUAUACCAAAAGACAUCUUGAGGGAAGAAUAACGAGGCCAAGAAACAAACCAAUAGGGAAAUUGAGUAAUUCUUGACUUGAAUGCGUAUGUAUCCCAUAUCAACUUGAGGUGUCAAUGGGAUUUCAAUGGAGAUGAAGGAGAAGAGAAAGAAAAAGUUAGUGACAAGCCAAAACUUGAUCCAAGUGAAGUUCUCAAUUACUAUACUAAAUGGAUUCCAUUUCCAAGGCAUGGCUGUAUAUGGUUUCAAUAUGUUUACAACGAAUAGGAGUACUUGGAAACUUCAGUUGGAUCCAUUUGGUAUAGUAAUUGGAAACUUCAGUUGGAUCAAGUUUUGGCUUCUCACUAGCCUUUUUUUUUUCUCUCCUCCUUCAUUUCCAUUGACACCUCAAGUUGAUAUGGGAUACAUACGCAUUCAAGUCAAGAAUUACUCAGUUUCCCAAUUGGUUUGUUUCUUGGCCUCAGUAUUCUUCCCACAAGAUGUCUUUUAGUAUAUCUACCCCAUAAUUAAUCUGCUCUCCUUAUGCACUGCUUGUAUCUCUAGCACGUGGAGGAGUUUUAAGUAGAGUGUUCAACUUCUACUGCCAACAAUUCCUAUACUUUAACAUAUAUAUGACUACAACAAUAAAUAUUGACGAAGAACCAGACUUAGAAUCGCAGGAGAUAAAGCAAAUUCGGCAAGUUUUGGCCAAAUGCAAAUCUGGAGCUUUGAAUCAGUAAUUAAAUGAACAAUAAUGUUUUGAAAUAGUUUCUGUUGUUUGCUUCUUUUGUAUUACAUUUCUGUUAACAUAUAGCCAAUGUAAAUCGAGCAAAAAAAAACGUGUUGCAGAUUUUUAGAUUUUUUAUUUUUAUUUUUUUUUCUCUAUCAAGAGAGAAACCUGGGUGGGGCGGUCGCACCAUCCACGUGGUGCGACUGCCCAACCCCGAAGUGCCACCUCUGUAGAUGGUCCACACACCUCGAGGGUGUGUGGUGGCCCACCGCACCGCCACGUGGUGUAACCGCCCUACCUAAAUUUGUUUCCUCUAUCAAAGGAUGUCAAUUUAGAUUGGUACUACAAAUUUUAUUCGUUUCACUACAUUUUAAUUGUACUUCGCAUUAUAGCAAUCAUUUUUAUUUUUAUUUUUAUGUCAAAUUCUUAUCUUCAAUUUUUCAUUAAUUAAUACAUCGUGUCAUUAAUGAUGAUUUACUUCAAAUAUUUUUUUGGGCUUUUUUGGGCGACAAUUUUUCGAUCGAAUCCCUUGGAGUUACGGGGAGAUGUUGGGUGUAAUUGAAGAGAAUAUUGUUGACUUUCCAACAUUAUCAAAAUUUGACGAUAAUCCGUGGUCGAAAGUGGCAGAAAUGUUGCAACAAAAGCAGCCCAAAAAAUUGAAAAUGUGGUUUUAAAUUUCAGUGACCGUUUCUGUAAAUUUUUAAACUUCAAUGACCAUUUCUAAAAGUUUUUAACUUCAAUGACCAUCUCUGAAAGCGCCUCGAAACUUAAGUGACCGUUACUGAAAGUUUUAAACUUUAGUGACUGUUUUGUAAUUUUUGCAUAAGUUCAGUGAACGUUUUUGAAAUUAAUCCAAAAAAGUUUGCAUGUAGAGUUUCAUGUUUCUUAAAAGGUACAAACAAAUCUCACCUAAAAAAAUUUAAAACAUUCUAAUUAAAGAAAAAUAUUUUAUCUUCUUAAUUAACCCACCAACUCCUACACCCAUCCCCUACAUUUCACCACCACUACAAAAUUAAUCAAAGAGAUAAUUAAAAGUAUAAUAAAAGCAAAAUAAUAAUAAUAAUAAUAAUAAUAAUAAUAAUAAUAAUAAUAAUAAUAAUAAUAAUAAACAUAGAAAAAUAAAAAUAAAAAAAUUUAUGGCCCCAUUCGACCCCCAUUAAUUUUAAUUAUAAUGGGGGAAAUAGAAUUUUUUUGAAAAAUGAAUGGUUGUAAAAGAAUAAAAAGUUUUCGAUUUAUUUGUAAUAUUAUUUUAUUGAAAAUUGUGUGAUUUAAAAUAAGAAAGAAAAAUUUAAUUUAAUUUGAUGAGAUGUGAUGGGGGCAAACGAGGGCAAUAUAAAAACGAAUGGCGCUUAUUCCUCAUCAAAUAAUUUUUAAACUUUUAAUUCUUUUUUUUUAAUUAUUUGAUGGUGGUGUUGAUGGAGGAGGAUAUGCAGAGGGGUCGAGAUAGGGAUAGGUGGUUAAUUGGAAAAAUAAUUUUUUUACUAGAAUGUUUUAAAUUGUUUUGCAUAAAAUUCAUUUGUAAUUUUAAAAAAAAAAUUAUAAAAUCUAGAUACAACAUUUUAUAUAUACAUAUAUAUUUGUUUAUCUAAAGACGAUGAUAAAUUAGUCAUUUUAUAAUGUUAUAAUAGAAAAAAUGGAUGGUAAAAAUCUUUUAAGCAAAAAAAUGUCGAUCUAAGUGUUCAAAUGUCAAAAUUGAAAUGAUAAGAACUAUUCACACAAUUAAAGCAAACGAUAGGCACGUUUUUGCUCCAAAUUACACAUAUUUAACUGAAGGAUUUAAUGAAAUAUGAUGGAAAGCACUGAUUCUGCAAGAAAUGUUUGAAAUAAUUGUAAAUGGCAAGUUUGAAACAAUAUGAACCAUUUUCACAAUGAGUACAAACGAUAGGAAUGCCUUUUGCUAAUUACCCUAAAGUAUAUUUACUCUCUAGAUAUCGAGGGAAUUUAGCCCUUGUCUAACACCCGUUAAAAUUUUAAUAUAUUUUUCUCUCUUCUUUUUAAUCACGUAUUCAUCAAUAAAAUAAUAUUACAAGUAAAUCAAAAAAUUCCCUUCUUUUUUAACCACAAAUUUUUCCAAAAAAAUACUAUUCCAUAAUACAGAUUACCAAAAUUUCUCAUUAUAAUAGAUGUAAAACAAAGGUUUAAUAUAAACUAAUUUACACUUUACUUUUAUAAUAAAUAAUGUUAUUCAUAGUGAAGAUUAUUGAUAGUCAUCCUUUGUGACAUAUACAUGACAAUGUGUUAUUUGAUGCAUAGGAUGGUAAAAAACCUAUCAUAUUAAUGUAUUAAAUAAUGUCAUGUGUACGUCACGUAAGAUAGCUAUCGAUAGUCCUCACUAUGAAUAUCAUUACUCUUUUAUAAAUAUAACAUGUCCAAACUUGGAGGCAAAAAUGCAGCCUCCGAGCUCCUAUAGAGAGAUUGCCGCAUUGACUAUAAAUAAACAAAAGCAAUGAAACUAUUGUGAAACAAUAAAAAUUUUCAAAAAUAAUCAAUUCUUCUCGACGAGUAGAGUUAAAAGGCUAGUUUGAAACGAAGGAUAGUGCAUUGCACCGUGAUGCAGCAGGGCAGCAUUGGUGAAAGGGCAAAUAGGGCAGCAUCGGUGAAAGGUAGUGAAAUAAAGGGAACCACCAUAAGAGAGGAGAAUUUGAUUUCAGAAUUUAAAAAUCCCAGCCUCUUAAUAAGUAUAAAGAAAGGAGGGCAAGAGUAAAAAUGCUUAAACGAGAAACUUAGCCUGAACUAAACUGCUCUAUAUAGUAGAAAAGGAUGGAGUUAAAUGUUUCAUUGACCACCAAACUUUACACUAGUCACGAUUUACUCAUCGAACUUCAUUAAUUGUCUCAUUGGCCACUGAACUUUGCUCCGUUCAACUCCAUCACUCACCCGUUCAAAACUGUUAAUAGACGUGCUGAUGUGGUGAAUGGAAAAAUGACUUGGCCGGUUAACUCCUUUCAAGUAGUAAGUGAUUUGCCAACUAAGCUUCCACGUUAGUAAUGGAGCAUCCAAACACGGCAUUAUCAAUUUCAUUUCACACGACUUUACAGAAUUAUAACCCAAUUAGUGUGAAAUCUCUCUCAAAUCACUUCCUCCCAUUCGCGAAGAACCCUAAGUAUCUGAACCAAGAUCCUCCAAAAAUCUCUCAAAUCCUAUCAUCCUGAAAUCCAUUUCUACAAAAUCUCACAUGAAGUCUCUGUAUUCUGAAAAUCCAUUCAAUUCAUUCGGGUAAUUUUUAUCAUGCACCGUGGUAUCCCAAAUCACGUCGUCUAAUUUUUGUGAGCUUCAAAUUCAUCUACCUCAAGAUAGAAAGGUAAUUUUUGUUUAUGUUUGUUGUAAAAUUGUUCCCAUGAUAUGGUAGGACACGAAUUGAUGAUUUUUGAAUGGAAAAUUGGUUUUGUUUAUAACUCAUUUUAUUUUUGGUUUGCAUCUUCGUCUUUCCGAUAAUGGUCAAGAACACUACUUUCUAGUCGUUAAUGGAGGAAAAACAUGUUUAUACCAUUCCUCUCCAUAAUCCAAUUAACACUCAUUUUGGGUAUUCUGCCAAUGUGAAUGUUGGGUAUUUUUUGUUUGGCUCUAAUAAAGAUAGCUCAUUGUUGAAUCCGGUGACUGGAAAAAAGGCCCUGUUGAUGAAACUACUUUGACCGUUGAAGGAUUUGAAUCCUGAUGGAGCUACUUUGCUUGUUGAUGAAAUGAAUAACACUAAAUUAAAAUUUGGAAGUAGGUGUGUUUUAGGUACUGAAUUUCAGAAAAAGCCUCCUAUUUAAACUCUCGAAUGAGAUGAAGGGAUUAAAGAUUGUUAAUUUUGCAGUGUUGCUGAGAAGAGUAAAAAAUUUGGCAGCAAUUCAUCUGUCUGUCACUGCCAAUAACAUAUUCAUGUUUGCAAUCAAUGGAAGGGGGGUAUCCGUUGCCUUUGUCCACCAUUUAUGGUAAUAGGAACUGGGACUGGUUGUGCUUGGAAACAGCUACAAUUUGCUUCAUUAAAAAUACUGGUAAUUUGUUCUAUUUUACUGUAUUAUUUUUUAUUGCAUUCCCAGUUCUAUCAUUAUUUGUUUAUUUAAUUAAUGUUUAAUGACACAUCUUUAUGCUUUUUGUCCUUCAUUUAUCUCAGUUAAGUAUGUUUAUAGAAUUAUUAGUAUGUUUAUAGAUAGUGUGUAGAAUAAUUUAAUUUAUAAUUUGUAAUUAGUUAAAAUUGUAUGUUUUAUUCGAAAGAAUCAUUCUAUUAACUUUUAGGGUCAGUUUGAUUGUAAAGAUGAAAUUUGGAUAGAAAGAAAAUGAAUUUCAGGAAAUUGAAUUGUCUAAAAAUUAUUUUACUGAGAAUUAUCAAUUAUUGUGUUUGAUUGAUAUAAUUUUUUAUGUGAAAAAUGUUAAAAUAAAAGUAUUUUUUGAUGUUCGUUUGACUUUAUUUUACAUAAAAAUUGUCAAUUAAAGGGAUAAAAUUUACUGGUAUUGGGGAUAGAAUUUGUUCCUCUUGCCCAAAGAAAAAAAAAAAGGAGCCAAAAAAAUCAUCUAUCUUUUGGUGUUCAUUUGACUUUGUUUUAUAUGGAAAUUAUCAAUUAAAGAAAAAUAUUUUUUUACAAUUAAUGAUAGAAUUUGUUUUCAAUGCCAAAAAAAUAAAAAAUAAAAAUUGGCAACUUACCUAGAAAACCAAUUCCCACCAUUCCUUGAAAACUAAGAAAAGUCCACUUUUCAAAAAAACCAAGCAAAUGAAUUACAUGGAAAAUAUUUGCUAUCAAACACUAUCAAAAGGUGGAAAAUAGACAAAAUUUUCCAUUUUCCAUGGAAAAGAUGCCCAAUCAAACAGGGCCUUAAUAUAUUUUUCCAACAGAAAUUGUGUAGUUUUAGUUCGAAAAUUUUUAAUAUAGUUUCAGUAUAUUAUUUUCAUAUUACCAAUAGAAUUUUAUCAUUAAAAUUUCUUAAUUUAUUUUUUAGGAUUUUGUUUUUUUUAUAAAUUAAAAAUUUAAAAUAAUCUUUAAUUAAUAGGUAGGAUUGAUUGAAAUUAAAAGUAUGUGAAUUUUUAUUUUUAUUUUUGUUCUUUUUUACAACAAGCAAUAAAUAUAGCAAAUCCUUGUUGCAAAACACACUUUCUCGCAACAUUUAAUGAUUGUUGCAAAAUGUUGUAUCGUAAGAAUUUCAACAAUAUGUACUGAGCAUUGCUAUAGAACAAAAUUUUAAACAGUUCAAUGAACAUUGCAAAAAAAAAAAAAAAAGGAAGAUUAAAACUUUUGCAACAUAAUAAAAAAAAAUUAAAACUUUUGCAACACUCAAAGAACGUUACAAAAAGCUAUAUAUCAAGAGUUUCAAAAACGUUUAUUGAACGUUACUAUAGAACUUUAUUUUUACAACAUUCAUUAAACAUUGCGAAAAAUAAAACUUCUUACAACAUUCAAGAAACGUUGAAAAUGGUAAUAUUGACAACAUGCAAUUAAAAAAAAUAUAUUGCCAAUGCUUAAUUAAAUUAAUCAAUAGCAACAUUUUUCACUUUUUAAAAUGUUGCAAUAAACCAUUUAGCAGCAUACAAUUCACGAAUAUUGCCUUUUGAAUAUUGCAAAAGCUAUUUUAAUUGUAGUGAAAAUUCGUCAUAUGUAUAUAAAAAUUCAUAUGUCAUUAAAUUAAUUUCAGUACACGUGAUAAAUGAUCAUACCUAAAAAAAUUAUUACCUUCACUAAACUUUGAAAAAUUAAGCUUUCGGACCGAUAACGUAUUAUGAAAAGAGAUAGAAAAAGCAGGGAAAAUAAAAGUCAAUAGACUUGUAUGUAUUAUAAUAAGAACUAGAGCCAUGUAUUCAUAAAGAAGGAUUAUGGAUACAAUGAUAAUAAUUUCUAAAUUUAUAGGGGUACAAUUGUCAUUCACAAAUAAAACUUACCAUUUACAACAAAAUGGUCUUUUUUUUUUUUCUUCAAUUUGCUCCUAAAAAGUUUAUUGAUAGCAACAAGAUAAGUCGGACGUUCUCUUUUUUGAAUUUUAAGAGGCGCGUAGGACAUUUUGAUCUUCAUUUUUCGUCCCAUUCAUUUAUGUAUUUACUUAUUUAUAUAUUAUUAUGCGUUUAAAUUUAAAUUUUAUUCAAAAAAAAUUUUAAAAAAAAUAUUAUGAAUCAUGGAUGGGUUUGUGAUAGCGAUCAUGUUUCCUAACCAAAUGCCUAAUAAGGAUUAUAGAAUUCCCGACCUUCAAUCCACGUGGCGCGUUCCGUCCCACAUUGUCCUUCCUUGAAUAGUAAACGAGGCGGGAUGCAAAACCUAUAGUCCCUAGUUUCGAAUUUUUAGUACUAGCUCUGAAUCAUUUUUCAUUAUUAUAUUUCAUUUUAUUGUUAUGUUCUUCAUUUAAAUCAUAUUUAAGAAAAUUUAAUUAAAUAAAUAAAAUGAUGAAUGAUGUUUUUUAUGUCUCAACCUACCCUACAUUCUGAAAAAUCAGAACGAAACAAGAAUGAUAUGAUGGUUACUAUCCAUUGUCAUCCUUAAAUUCAAAUUUCUUGUUGGGCGAAGUAACUUGGGGCCAGAGGCAGUCCUGAGGGCGCACGAGUUGAGCGAUCGCACAGGGCCUCAAAUUUGUAAGGGCAUCAAAAAAAUUUUUGUUAUAAUUGUAUAUUUAUUUAUAAUUAAAUAUUUAAAAUAUAAAAUUUUUAUUAUUAUGCAAAAGAUAUUAAAAUUAAGAAUAAUGUGACUAACUAGUUAUAAUUUUCUUGAAUAUAAUAUUCUUAAAUAGCGUUCCUACCUUAAAUAAUGUGAGGAAAAAGUAAAAAGUCAAAAAGAGAUUAGCCCGACUAGAGAACUGAGAGAAGAGAGAAAAAUUGAGCAACUACAUUUUCCAAAUCGUCUUUUUGGAGAGAAGAAUUAAAGAAAACAACAAUCUUUUCCAAUUGCCCCAAAGAUAAUUGAGGUAGAGAAAAUAGAAACCAACCGUUUUUUUAUUUGUUUAUUUUUUUUUUUGAAGAAAUCAUCUUUUUUUCCAAUCAUCUUUAAUCUGGCUCCAAAAGAUUCUCUUUUUUCUUUAAGCAACGACUGACGAUUCAUAUUUUUCACUGAACUCUCACUGAAAAUUUGAAUUACAUGUUAUCUUUUCUUUAUUAUCUUUUCGUUAAUCUUAUUCUAUGAUUUUACUGAUUUGAAUUCUUUUUGCAAGAACUUGUUAAAAUUUGAAUUCAGGAUUGAGGAUUGAGAAAGCACGACAUAAUUUUCCUCCGGAGAAGUUGAACACUUACAAGUAAGUUUUUGUUUCCUUAACAUAUUUUUCUUCAAUAAUUUCUUUGAAUAUUCAAGAAAAUAUAAAUUCGUUUUUAAUAUUUUUUUCUCAACGUUCUGAAGAUGGAUUCAUCGUUUAUAAUUUAUAAUUACUAAUUUAAUAAGUGAAAUCAAUUAACUGUGAAGAGAUUUACUGUUAAGUGAAAUCAAUUAAUUGUGAAAAUGGGUUCACUGUUCAUAAUUUAUAAUUACUAAUUUGAUAAGUGAAAUCUACUAAUGAAAUUGAUUCAUUGAAUUUUUACUACCCUCUAACUCUCUUUUCAUUAAUUUGUGAUACACGGGUUUUCGAAGAAUCAAGAUUGAUUUAAUUCCUGUUACUGUUGUAUCUGCUGAAAGAAAAUUUUCAAAAUUGAAGUUAUUAAAAUCUUAUUUAUGAUCAACCAUUUUACAAGAACGAUUGAAUGGAUUCGUUUUGAUAUCUAUUGAGCAAGACUUUCUAAAAAAUAUUGAUUACGAAAGUUUAAUUAGUGAAGUUGCUUUUAAAAAUGCGAGAAAAAAUAUUUUUACAUACUUUGUAUCAUUUCAAGCUUUACACUUGACUUGAUUUAUAUAUUUGUUUCAAGGUUUGCUUAUAUGGAAUUGCACGAAGAGGUUAGUGGUUUGGAUGGUUCUUUGUUGAUGACACAUGAAUUUUGAUGAAGUUCGAGAGAUACUUUUGAGUUUUAUUUAUGUUUUUCUUGUUUGUGUAUGUUAAAAAAAAAAUAUUCAAAUAUCAUAUUUUUGCAAUGAAAUAAUAUUAUUGAAAUAUUUUUCUUUACUAUAUGUUUUAAUCACUUGAAGGGGGUACCAUUUUAAAAUUUCGCACAGGACAUCCAAAAUCUUAGGGCUAGCUCUGCUUGAGGCUGGCGUUUUGUUAAAGAUUUCCUCUUAUAAUUUUGUAGAAAAUAAAAAGCAAUGAAAAAUAAAUCCACUUGAAAAUAGGGUCAUCUCUAAAAGAUAAAUGUAUUAUCCAUUGAUUCCCAUUUUUCAGUUGAAACCCAUCUCCGUAGCAAGGCUAUGAUCCAAUCCAACCUUAAAAUUUCUCAAAUUAUCUUUAAAAAAAAAAAAAAAAAAUUUCACCACAUUUUUAACUCUACAAAUAAAGUGGAGUGUUGCCUAAAUAUCCAUUACAACAGCUAUGUAGAGGCAACCCUGAUGGUUCACAGAUGGUGCAACCGCACAAGGCCUCUACAUUACAGGGACACCAAUUUUUUUUUUUUUUAUUUGUGUAUUAUAAUUUUAAAAUUUAAUUUUUUUUUAUUAAAGGGACCAUGUUUUAAAAAUAUCACAUAGUACACCCAAAAUAUUAAGGUCAACGCUACAUCUAAGUACCACUGUGCAACUUCUCCAUUUCCUAGGUAUCAAAAAAUCUUCACCUCUACAACCACGUACUAUGUUAAUUGCUGAAGAUUAUAUUUACAGUCUGUUUGAGCCACAUUAUUUCAAAAAAAUACAUUUUUAAAUAAUAAUUUGACAUUAUUUCAAUCACACAUUCUUCAAUAAAAUAAUAAUACACAUAAAUAAAAAAAUUCCUUAUUUUUUAACCACACAUUUCCCAUCAAUACAUUAUUCAAGAAUGCAUUAUUACCAAAAUAAUGUUGCUCAAACACCCCCUCAGUAGCAAACAUGAUAGAAUAAAAUUCUGUGACAUACUUAGAUGAAAAUUAAUUCAAUACAGUCUGGCGUUCAAGUCAGACGAUAAAGUAUAUUGGGUGUGGAAGAGAUACAAUAGAUAAAGAUAUAGAUACGGUUUACCAAAACUUUCCUUCGAAGGAAAGGGCAGAGUAUUUAUAGGUGGAAGAAGCUCUAUCUGAAUGCUUAACACGUGACUUUAUUUUAAUACCUCAUUUCUCAUGCUUAAUUAUGUCAAUUUAUAGCCAUCAUAGGUAUGGCUUUCCAUAGUCAGAGUAUAAGCUAAAAACUAAGUAUCGUUGUUGCGGAGUUGUUACAUCAAAUAUUUUGUACGGUGUACUUUGGGCAACUUUGUCAAAGCAAGGCUUGUAGUAGAUGUUCAUCACCCUAGAUAUAUACUGCAGUGGAGAGGUGAUGCAUCGCCUCGAAUAACAAUAACAUUUUAAACAAUGCAUCUAAAAGUAUCCCAUGAUCGUAUCAAAAAAGGCAUGAAGAGGAGACGAUGGGAAUUUGAGUGUUUCCCUUGUAUAGCCUCUUCUUAUUUGGCUGUCAUGUGGCCCACAUUGUAGAAAAAUAUGUAACAAUAUCACUUUUAACAAAAUCUAUUCUCAAACAAUGGAGCUUAAAUAGGGUUACCAGUUUUAUGUUACUGAAAUUUUUUUCAAAAGCUCUGUUGAAAAUUAAUUUUUUUUUCUUUUUAUUAUUUUUUUAUUUUUAGGAGAGUUAGGGGCUAGAGAAUAAAUGUAUGUAAAACAAAGUUGUCAGAAUCAAAUGCUAAGAGAGCAAAUCUCUUUGCAAGAAAGAAGGAAAGGAUAAGGCUGCCAAAAUUAUGAUGAUGAUAGAAAUGGAAGCAAGAAUAUUCAUAAUAUAAGUGAAUUUCUUGGUCGUCCAUGCCGGAUUGAAGCUAUCUUGAACACACGACCUUACCUUUGUGAAGUUAUCAAUCCCUCAAUUCUAUUGUUUACUGGUGCAAAUUCAAUUUUUCCCGUGUUAGAAAUUUUCCUUUUUGUUAAAGUUGAAUAACAUCGUCUAAUAACAUUAGCUUAUAGGGAUAGGACAAAUUUAUUUACGGAAUUUCUGAAGAUCCUUGAGCAACUUGGAUUCAUUUUUCAAUUUAUGAGAUGUGCAUAAUUUUGCUCAUCAAACCACAUCAUCUAAAAGUUUAAGCUAGCAAUUAGGACACAAAUUUAUUUAUUUAUUUAAAUCUUCUUCGACAUUUUGGACAUGAAAUGUGAUUCCUACAACAAAUGUGCACACCUCCAAUUUAUUAAAUGAUAGACUACGAAACUGUAUUUUGAGUGGUAAUUGGUAUGCAAGAGUGGUUAACUAAUGGAUUUGUAAUUUCGACAUCUAAGUUCUGCAAGGCCAAUACAAACCGAUAGAUAGAACAUUUAUUUUUGUCUGCAUUAAGCAUCACAGGCUCAAUUACCGAGAAUUGCAUCCACUUUACACCUGUUACAAUGUGGAAGCGGAAUUGUCCAGAAAUUAAAUAAAAAAAAUUUUAAUUAAAUAAACAAGAUCGUUUAUGUGACAUCUCUAAAAUAUUUUUAGGGAAAAAAAUUAUUAUCUAUUCUAUAUAUUAUAUUUGAUUAUUUUGAAAAUGACGGACUUGGAUGAAGUAUAUUUUAAAUUAUUAUAUUCUUGAGGCAAAUAAUUGGAUUUUGAUAGAGUGAUGAUAAGUCUAUCAAUAUUACACUCGUUGGAGAGCCCGUAUCUAAUUAUGUAUUUUAGGCUCGAGAAAAAGUUAAUUCUAAUAAGUUUGGCUCAAGAUAUUGAAGUUUGUAGAAGUUGUUAUUUAAUUGGAAUUAGAAUUUACCAACUUUUAAAAGGGGUAGCCACGUGUGCUCUUCUAUAGAGAUAAGGUGGUGGAUAUGAGAUUGUAGUUAAUUGUUAUUUUAUCACAUUUUGAUGAUGAUUAAUGUAAAUUGAUAAUUAUAAUCCUAUUUUGAGAUAAUUCAACUUCGGAUAUUGUUACUAAAUUAAAUUAAAAUAUUAGUCCUUACGUUUAUUUUACCUGCACUACAUGAGUGGAUAAGGUGAUUGGGAUAUUUCUAAUUAAGCAAAAUCCAAAUUAAAACUAAUCUAGAACUUAUCAUAUGAAUUAGAUAAAUUUUCCAUCUCCUGCUUGGCCAUGCGUUUAAAGAUUUAUUGGUUUUAAAAAUUAUUUUCACCAAGUAGAGAUUUUACAGAGAUGAGAUAAAAUUUUAUGAAGUCAUUUUUAUCCUAUAUUUUGAUAAAGGAUAAAGGUUUAAAUGUAAUCUUAUAUGUGAGAUAUUCAAGUACUAUCAUACAUGUGUCAUAUCAUGGUUUGGGUUAUCAAAAUUUAAAGUUUAUCUAAGUGGUACACGUUUUCCCCACCGUCAAAAUUGUACCAUGACUCAACUACCAUUUUUUUAUUAUAAAUAAUGUGCAUUUGUACUUUGAUUUUCCACCAAGAAAUUUUUACAUAUCAGACAAUAGAGAGAGAGAGAGAGAGAGAGAGAGAGAGAGAGAAUAAUUUUGAAGAUUCAGUCACCAAAAUUUUGACGCAGUCGAGAAAGUAGAAUAUGGGGGUGUUUGAUAGAUAUUUUUAUGUAAAAAUACAUUUUAGAAUAGCAAAUUGAUGUGAAAUGUGUGGUUGAAAAAUGAAGAAAAGUUUUUGAUUUACGUAUAAUAUUAUUUUAAUAAAGAAUGUGUGGUUGAAAAGAAGAGAGAGAAAAAUACUUUUUGAAUAAAAUAUGAAUGAAUUACCUGCAGACAUUCAUUUUUUUAAAAGAAAUAUGAAAUCCUACAGGAUUAUAAGAAGGCCUAAGAUGGGUGUCACUUGGUCACGGAAUUACUCCAUAAGAUCAAAGUGGUAUGAAAUGCAUAAUUUUUAUUGUUAUAUAUUUGUAUAUGAAAAUUGCACGUAUCUUAUUGGGUGUUUUUGAAUACUCACUCUUACAAAUUUUUAAAGGUUAGUUCGGGUUGAUUGAAGUUGUGACGAAUUGGUGACGCGGACAGCCAAGUGAAUCGAAGAAAGGAAAAAGAAAUUAAAUAUUUAGUUUGCUUUUUUUUUUCUGUAAUUCUAAAUUAUUUGCUAGUUUUAUUUGCUCAAAGACUCUUUUGGUUAUUUUAAAUUGAUAUUUAUGGUUGAAAAUAAAGAAUUUCCUUUUAUUUAAAUCGUUCCACAAUUAUUAUAAAAGAAAACAGCGUUUUUCUUAACAUCCUGGCGUUUUUGGAAAUUUAGGACGUUGCAGUUUAGAUGUUCACGUAUAUGUUAAAUCAAGGAUAAAGAAUUUGAAUUUUUACCUAAAUUGAUGAUUAAUUAUUUAAUUAAUUCAAAUCACGAACUUCCACCUUUUUGGAUCAUAGACUUCUAGCUUUUAAUUACAAGAACUUGAUACAUCAAAUCUCCAAGUCUUCUACUGUAUUCUCCAAAAUCAAAACUACACCAAUGAGUGGGCGUUUUUUUUUUUUAAUUAUAUCAAGAAACUAAUUUUUAAACUGACAAUUGAAUAAAAGCAAGAAAAAUAAUAUUCUCUCUUUUUUCCUCUCUUCAAUUUGAACACUGUGGAUUUAUGUAAUAUGAUUAGAAAUUCUAGGUUCUAUAUAAUCUCUAAUUAUAGAGACAGAAUAGUUCUAAUUCUUGUACAAUAAUAAUUUCACAUUCAAAUAAGAGUUCUAAUUAAAAUCUAAGUAGGAGUUUUACCUAAAGUCCAAAUUCAAUUAGUACACAUUUAAUUACAUGUGUAGUCCUAAAACUUUAUAAUUAAGUUUACAAAUUUCAUAAUAAUUAUAACUAAGUACAAAAUUUUAUUGUAAUUAUAGUUAAUCUCAAAAUUAUUAUAAUUACUAUAAUUCAAUUCCAAUAAUUUAUGGAGCUGACAUAGGGACCUGAUAUAACAUAUAUUAUCCAAACUUCAAUAAUUAGAUCUGUCUAGUAGACUUUAGACCACCCAAUCUAAUUAUUAGUCUUUACUUUUUCACCAAAGACACAGAAACCAAUAAAUUUGUAAUGAUUUCCUCUAACAUGUUGUAUAUGUAUUUUAUCCUCGUCCGAGAUUUAAUAAUUAGGUAUGAGCAUAAAUGACCGUUUUGCCCUUUUAUUUAUUAUCACUAGCUUAAGUAUCAUUUUCUUCAACGAUUAUGUAAACUAAUCACAGAUGUCGAAGUUUAACUGUCGCUAAACACUUAGCUCAAAUUUUAACCAUUCAACAAUAAAUACUUAAGUAAUCACUCUACCCAUUUUUCAAUGUGACGAUUCUCGACACGAAUUCUCUACCUUGCUUAUUUUCGAAUUCUUAGCUCAUCAAGACAUUUAACCAAUCAAAUUAAUAUCACCCAUUGAUGAUCAAAGAACCACUAAAAUCACGAAAAUAUAUACAUAACACUAUUAAGGGAUUUAUAUGAAAUACACAGCGAUCAAGUGAAACUUAAUUCUUCGCACGGUCAUGCUAUAGGAAUUAAAUUUGACACGUGAUCCGUUCAAUAGACUCCAAGUGUACUAGUGCCACCUUUAACUAUUUUUGUAAUAAGGACAAAUCACAAACGUGAAUAGUGAAUCGGUCAAUAUUACAACCUUCCAGUACAAGGUGUCAACCCUUAUACAUUGAUAAUGAACAAAUUAUUUAUGAUCAAAAUAUAAGUUGUGUCACCCUAUAUUUCUCAACGCAAGUAUCCAAUUUAUAUUAUCACAAGUGAUUAUAGGCACUUUAAUUCACAUGCUUAAUAAUAAAUAAAUGCAAUAAAUAAAAUAAACACAUUUUUAUUUAAUAUAACAAUAUUGUUAUUUUUACAUCAGCAAAACUAUACUUGAUAUAUUUGAUAGGUUGAUAGGAUCCAAACCUUAGCAUGCCAUUUAGAAAUCCAUUCGUUAAUAGGAUUCAAUUAAGUUACCGUUGCCAAUUAUGAGUUGAUGCAUGGUCAAAUGACAGCCUCUGUAGCUUCACACACUUGAUAUAUUUGAUAACUUGUUAAACUAUUAAUAUGGGUUGCAGUGAGGGUUCCGAAGUAGUAGAAUGGUAGAAUGACCACUUUUCAGGUAUUAUCGGCAUUAAUAUUUUUCUUAAUUUCGAUGAAUUUAAAUGAAUUAAGGAGAAUCUGCAAUGAUUUCAAUGAUGUUUGAAAAGUCUAUAUCAUCAUGGACGGUUAACAUCUGGGAGAUUCAAGUAUAAAAGUUUUGCAUAAUUUCAUUGAAUAUGCCUCUAGCUUUCAUACCUAGAAUAUUAUGCUUGAAUGCUUAAAAGAUUUAUCCAACUUUAGGGUUUCAUUGUAUUGUAUAAAGUAGCCACUUAAAUACUUCUCUCUUGUACUCAUAUUUGAUAUAGUAAAAAUUAUUUUCUUACAUUUUUGUGAAUUACAAGUACUUGAGAGUGCAAAUGAAGUAAACCCAAUUUUACUUGUGGGUCAUUUGGCAUUCACAUAUUAUAACUAUUUUACUUGUGGACUAAAUUACGUAUAUUGAACUAGAGAAAAAGUCGAUUUGAAUAUACGGAGACCAAUAUCAUUCUAUCCUAAGAUAUCAGGACUUACUAUUAAUUAUUAAGAUAUUUUUCCCAAAAUCAAUAUUGCUAGAUUGAGUUUUAACUAUAUAGGGAUUUAAUUCCCAAAAUAAAUUACACACAUCUACAUUGAAUUCCCAAAAUAAAUUACAUUGAACAAGUAAUCACACUCCAAUAAUUUCCUGAAACCAUCAGUCUUCAUAAUUUCCUGAAACUAACUCAAAUCUCCACGCAUUAAAGAUUGAGUCAAUAUGUUAAAUAUUGUAAAUAAAUAUGAUUAAAUAAUUAAAAUUAAACAUAUCUGAUUUGUUUACCAUACAACGUAAAUGGAUAUAAAGACUUCAAAGGGGUAUAACAUAUUCAAAGUCUCCAACUAAACCUAGUCCUCGUAUCCUCAACUUAUCAAAAAGUCAAUACCUUUAAGGUAUGUGCUAAAGAAAGGCACGAGCGUUGACAACCCCACCAUCUAUACAUUUGACACUUGCCUUGAUGAUUAAGAAAAUGCCUGAUCAUCAUUUACUAAAACUCAUAAAAAUGUUUAUAUCAUCUGCCAAACUCAAUUAUUUCAAAAUUUAUUUUCAAUCAUGUAUUUCAUGGAAUUUACAACUUUUACCAAUUUUCCCUUCAAAUCUUACCAAAGCUAAUUAGGCAACGGCUUAAGGCCUUAGAUAUUUGAGGGACCUCAAAAAUAAACCAUUUGUUCUCUGGUUCUUGCAGACAGUGGGAACAUAUCUUGUUAUUGCAAAUUAUCGCAUGACAGGAAUGACCUUUAUGAUUUGCUAAAGAAAUGAAGGUACUUUCCUGGGUUCUUCAUUUUGCUUUAUUUCCACUCGUCAUUCAUUUACCAAUACGGGUUGACUCCCUUUCCUAGAAAAUAUGCUCAUGCCAAUUUCCUAAAUUUGUGGAUUUAAUUGAAACUCAAAAAAGUUUAACCAUAUUUUCUUACCUUCGUUUCAGUCGAUGAUAAUCUUUGUCAAAUUUUUAAUUUGUGGAAUCACAUACACAUUGAAAGAACAUUUAGUCCAACCUAUCCUUUCCAUCCAAUCUCAUCUUUUUAUUGACAUACUUUAUGUGUUGGUUGGACAAUAAAAGAAAAUAUUAGAUAGCGUUAAAGAAUAAACAACCAUCACAAAUUCACGACAUAUUUAUAGAAUACUGCCAAAGAAAUCCAUUUUAAGGAACUUUUAAUCACUUCCAAACAAGCUCUUAGCUCUAAACAUUUUUCAUGAGCUCGAUUUAUAAUACUAAUUAAACAAUAAAAAGAUAUUAAAACUUUUUCCAUAGUAAUCAACAUUUUUGUCCAGCACUAAGCAUGGCUCCUAAAUAUGAUAUGACAGUAAACAUGUGGGCCUUUCCUGUUUUAAUAGGAAUCCUCAUCUUUGAGAAUUAUGUUAGUUGUUAUUAUGUCCUCUGAGCAUGUUUCCUCAAGAAUCAAUAGAAAAUAGCUAUUUAUUUUUAUUUUAUUUUUUCAUUUUACUCAAACUCGUGUAUUUCAUGUUGAACUGCCUCGUAUAGAAAUUACAGGAGAUUAAGUUAUGAGAAAAAAGUUAUGUUUAAGGGCCUCGUAUUUACUAAUACAUUGUUCUUCAAGGAUCAAUAGGUGAAAAUAUCAUACCUGAGGGCCUCAUCAUAAUUAUUUGCUAGCCCCGAGAAACCGACCCCAAUAGUCCCUUUUCUAGGAACCACCUUGGUGAGCCUUUCUUCGUCAACGAAUUUAGCUCACAGAUUCGCCUCACUUUCUCCACCAACAAGCCUAGUUUGCAGCUCUGCCUCACCGAGUGACUCCAACAAGAUACAUCAAGGUUAACAAAAUGUAGCUCACAUGUAGCAUCCAUGUUGGAUGAGGUUCAAUCAUUUUGAGCCACUUUCAACGAGCCUGGAAGGUUGUUACUACGUAGAUGAAUAUGUGGAUCGCUAGAUUCUGACAUUUGCUCAGCAGAUUAGCACUUUGAGGACGACAGGAUUCAAACAACCCAGUUUGACACAGAACAACUUAUUAAGCAACAGGAAAUCUCUUUCAAUGUGGAUGAGGAAUUUUAUUCAGCAACAUAGGUGGUGUGCUCUAAACUGACUGCAAGGAGCCAAUACUCAUCCAACAAUCUUGAAACCAAUACUAAUCUCGGCAAGUUUAAUAAAUAUUUUGGGUUUCCUUUGGAGUCCCAUGUCCACUCCGUUGUGGCGCAACUCUGGUGCCUAUCCCGCACCAAGAGUGCCUCAACAGCUGAAGCUGGAGGUGAGGGUCCGCUAGAGCUGCCUCCACAACAGUUGCUGGAGGCUGGAGGUUGCGGUGUACCCAGAAACCUCAAAAGUCAUAGUUGGAGGUUGAAUUUUGGUUUAGAUAUUUUAUCGAUCGCCUGAUGGACGAAGUAGCGCUGAGAUUUUAUGAGAACAAAUAAAGGCUUCCUCUAAUCCCAUGCUCAACACAAUAUCCCAAUUAUGCCCGUUUUAGAAUAUCCGCGUCCUACGUAGGUUCGGAGCCGUCGGAAGCGACUACCACUGCGCCUGCCUCGACGGCAUUCAACGGAGGCUACGGAAGCCACGGCGGCGGUGGGAGCACCGGGGCUAGAUCUUGGCCCAGUGUUCAGUCUAACACGAAGAGUUGUAAUUGGUCCGGCGAGAUCAAGGAGGAUCGAGAUCGAGUGGCAUGUAGGUCGCAACGCCGGUGCUACGGGAGCCUCUGUGUCGGUGGGAGCACCAGGGCUAGAUCAUGGCCCAGUGUUCAACACCGAGACCAAGGGGGAUCGAGAUGGAGAGGCAUGUUGGUCCGUCGUAGCCGGACUGUUUUAACGACUAUGGAAGCGGUUCUCAUCAGUAGGAUUUUAGCGAAAAUUAUGGAGUUUUGACCGUUACUCACCAAAAUUUAUAGCAUUGCAGCUGCAAUUAUUGACCAAAUUUUUAUAUACC